rnacentral:lncRNA from 1 species
CGAAAUGAAACUCUAUUCUUUAAUUGUUCGGCUAUAAAUUCUGCGAGAAUAUUAGGGUGUCCAUAAGGGUUUCCUAUUCUUGUAAUAGCAAUGUUGAGUUUUCGGUUCCCAGAAUUGAAUUCUUUUUGUACAUUAAUCUGUAAUUCUUCGAUUUUUCGAGACCCAUCGUCUAUUACUAACUUUGGGAAUCCCAUAAAGAUUAUCACUUGAAUAAGAUCAAUUCUUUUUUGAAUCUCGAUACGUGCAAUUCCUUCAACACCAGAAAAAAUUCUCAUGUCCUAAAAAAAUCUAUUUUGGAUCAGAAACAAAAUAAAGUUGUUUACUUAUUUUACAUACAAAAUUUAUUAUUAUUACUUUUGUUGUUGUACAUAGAAACGUGUUGAAGUUUUUUUAAAAAAUAAUUUUAAAAUUAAUAAUAAAUUUAAGAUUAGUUUAAAUUAUUUAAGGAAUUAUCUUAUAAACUUGUUGAAUCCAUAAAAUUUUAGUUUUAUUUGAAUUCAAUCAAAUAAAAAAGAAAUGAUUUUUUAUUACUCAUUUAAAACUACACAAAUUAAAUAGAAUUGGAUCAAAUUUGGUGUGUUAUGAGUAUUUGUAUGUUUUUAUUUAUUUAGUUUGAUCAGUGUCUAUAGUUGGAUUUAUUUAUUUCUACUAUAAUCAUUCCCGAAGGUGGAACAAACCACAAUGGAUCUCACGCACCCACUUACAAACUUGUAAUCAUCAUGUUUGCUUUUCAUUAUUAUUGUUGUUAAUAUUUCAUAUACCCUUUUUCCAUUAAGUUCAUACUUUUAUUUUUAACAAAUUUUAACUUUUCCUUCCCCUCUAUUUUAACAAUUUUGAUUAUAUAAUCGAGUUUAAUGUUUUCUCAUACAUAAAUUAAAUUAAAUGACCAUUUUUUAAAAUAGCAAAAAAAAUUUAUUCUUAAUUCAUACACUUCUAUCACUGUCUUUAAUGUCACUGAUGAAAAGAUAUCAAUGUCUAUCAAAUAUUUGUUAUUGAUACAAUAUGAAAUUUGGUUAUAACUUGUAAAUGUUUUGUCAAAUUUGUUAUUUUUUACAAUUUUUCUAAAUUAAACUUUCCAUAUUAAAUAUUUAAUUUAUAUAAGAAUGGAUGAUUUACAUCAAUGUAACAAAACUACAAAAUAUUUAUAGUCUGUUUAACAAAACAAUUAUAGCGCAUAAAACCACCACUGUUUUUCCAUAAAUUUCAUAUUUACUCUGUGUUGUUUUUUAAUAUUGUGGGACGAUUCUUCCCCUCACUUCUUUUUCUUCUUCACUGCGAUUUAUUUUUCUCCUCUUCAUAUUAUUAAUUUCUUCGUAUUCUCACUUCUUUUUGUUUAUGGUUUCUUCAUUACAUCUUACGGACUUUCUUCCUUCUUCUUCAUCUCUCGUCUUUUUUUUUUUUAUUCUUGGUACAAGAUCUAAACGAUAUUGGUUCAUGAUCUAAACAAUCGUGUACCAAUAUCUAAACGAUCAGUUUUUUUAUCCCAAAUAGAUUGAAAUAGAUUUACUAUCACUGAUAGAUCGUUUAGAUUUGGUACAAGAUCGUAUAGAUUGUGUACAAGGGUAUAAGAUCGUUUAGACAGAGUACAAGGAUAUAGUUUCAUUUAAAUUGGAUACAAAGGUAUAAGAUCAUAUAACAAGAUAGUUUAGAUUUUCUACAACAUCGUUUAGACUAGGUACAUGGUUAUAAGACACAAGAUUGUUUAGACUAGGUAUAAGAUCAUUUAGACUAAGUAUAAGAUCAUUUAGACUAGGUAUAAGGGUGCAUGAUUGUGUACCAAGAUCGUUUGAAUUUAGUAUAAAAUCAUUUAGACUGCAUGCAAGGGUACAAGAUCGUUUAGACUCGGUACAAGGGUACAAGAUCGUUUAUACUGAAUGUACAAGAUUGCUUACACUUGGUACAAAAUCAUUUUUUCACAUGUGUGACCGAUUAAUCGUGGGAUAUUUUUUAUAUUUCACAUUAUUGGCUUGUUGGCUUUUCUCUUUGUCAAAAUUGUUCUCUACGGUAUAAAUAUUUGUUCUCUUUUUAAAAAAAUCUCUUUAAGAAAUGCGUAAAAUAGUUAUUUGUUUAAUUUAAUAUCAUUUUUUUAAAACUAUUCUCUUUCUAAGAAAUUAAAAACAAAAAAUUAAAAAAAUAGUCAUUAGUUUUGUAAUAUUUGUAUUUCUAUCCAUGUUUGGUAGGAAAAUUGUAAAUUGUUUUCAAACAAUUCAUAAAACAUUUAUGUUUCUAUAGUGUUUUUUGUGAUGUAUAAAUAUUUUGGUUUUUGGAUAAUUUGCAUAAAUGUAACAAAAUCUAAAAAUAUUUACCGUUUACGAACAAAAAAUUAGUGCUCAUGAAGCCACCAUUUUUUUUUCAUGAAUUCCAUAUGCACUCUUUGUUGUUUUUAGUAUUGUGUGACCAUUCUUCAUUUCAUUUCGCUUCUUUUUCUCCUCUUUAUAUUAUUAAUUUUUGCAUAUUAUUACUUCUCCUUCAUAUUCUCACUUAUUCUUAUUUGUGAUUUCUUCAUUUCCUCUUCUAGAAUUUCUUCCUUCUUUUUAUCUCUCAUCUCCUGUUUUCUUCUUGGUACAAGAUCUAAACGAUAUUGGUACAGGAUCUAAUUGAUCGUGUAUCAAUAUCUAAAUGAUUAGUUGUUUAUCCUAGAUAAAUAGAGAUAAUAUACCACUAUAUCGCUAAUAGAUCAUUUAAAUUUGGUACAAAAUCGUUUAUAUUGGAUACAAGAUUGUUUAGACUGGGUACAAGGUUAUAAAAUCGUUUAGACUGGGUACUACAAAGGGACAAGAUCGUUUAGACUUGGUAUAAGGGCACAAGAUCGUGUACUAAUUAAAUCAUUGAGACUGGGUACAAGAUCGUUUAGACUAGGUAAGAGUGUACAUGAUUGUUUAGAUUGGGUACAAGAGACGUACAAGAUCGUUUAGACUUGGUACAAAAUAGUUUUUUCAUUCAUGUGUAACGAUUAACCACAAGGUGUUUUUUAUUUCACGUUGAAGACUUGUGGACUCUUUCCUUCUUUAAAAUUGUUCUAUACGCGGUAAAUAUUUUCAUGCGUUAUUCUAUUUUUAAAUAAGUCAUUUGUUUCUUCCUUUUGAAAAAAAUCAUAUUUUAUAUAAUUAAUGUUUGAAUAUUUUCGUUAAUGCAUAGAUGUUUUAAACUUCUACUAAAUUGAGUUUGGUAUUUUAGAUGUAGUAUUAAAAUGGUUAAUUUUCAUAAAUGUAACAAAACACACAAAUAUUUACGGUAUGUGUAACAAAAAGCAAAAGCCAUGAAGUCGGUACAAUAUUUUCAUAAUUUUCAGAUUUUUUCUUGAAUGUUGUGGAUGAUUCGUCAUUUUUCUUUCUUCCUCUUCUUUGCGAUUUAUUCAUCUCUUCUUUUUCCAAAUUUCUUCAUCUCUUCUUCAAGAUUUUCUUUCUUCUAUUUUUAAAAAAUUUAUUAUUCUGUUUAAAUCUCUUAUUUUAUCUUCACCAUUUUCGGUAAGAUUCUUUGAAGCUACUUCAUCUUCCUCAUAUUCAAGAAUACCAAGAUCGUCGUUUAAAUAUCAUUUUGACACUAUCUAAAAGGUUGUUUACUAUAAUCAACAUGAUCGUUUAAAUUUAAAGCUCUUUUUCCAUCUUUUAAAAAGAACUACACGAUCGUGUUGAUAUGAUCUAAACAAUCACUUACCAUAGUCAACAACCUGUUUAGCAUGGUCAACACGAUCGUUUAGAUUUGGAGCCCUUUUUCAUAUCGUUUAAAAAGAACUACAGAAUCGUGUGACUAUGAUCUAAACGAUCGCUUACCAUAGUCAACACAAUCGUUUAGCAUGGUCAACACACAAUUGUUUAAAAUUAAAGUCUUUUUUCCAUUGUUAAAAACUACACGUACGAUCGUGUAUUAUAAACGAUCGUUGAUCAUUCGUUUAAACUGUAAUACACGAUCGUUUAGAAGAAAAUUACUCACAUGCACGUAUGGUCAAUUAAUCGCGUGCUUGACUGGAGUAUGUAUGGUAUUUAUCACUAUAACCCUUGGACUUUCUUAGUUUUUGAAAUUGUUAUAGAAUGUAAAUAUUUUACCGGUUCGUUAUAUAUUUUUUAAAAAACCUAUUAAAAUUUUGCGUUUACCAAAAAUAAUAAGUAUAUAUGGAUGGUUAAAUUUUGAUGAUGAAGUAGGGUUUUCCACAUCAGAAGUAUUUUUUAACAGAAGAAGAAGAGGGAGAAUAAUAUAAUUAAGUUUGUAUAUAGUAAAAAAGAUUUCACAUUAAACCUUAUAAAAAUUAGAAACAACCCAUUGGUCUUUGUCACAUGAAGCAUCGAGGUUUUGGAACCUUACAGUUGGGUAACUCUUCAAGAAAAUGAAUAAAAAUAACCCCAAAAUGUGACAUACCACAUGGUCCAACCUUACAAGUGGAGAUAAAGAUUAAAAUAUAAUAACAAACGUUGAAGUUAUUUUUGUUAUAAACAAAUAUUCAAAAGCUUCAAGUUGUCAAGUUGUUGUUCUUUAGAAGCAAUCUUACGAACAAAUAAAAUAAAUUAACAAACUCAUUUCAAAAAUAUAACAAACAACUUAAAUAUCUACGCUACAUAAAAUAAUUUUAAAAAUGGAAAAAAUCCAUUAACUUACUAUCAAAAAGAUAAAAAAAAAAUGUCUAUAACUAAUUCACAUUCAAAGCGUGUAAUAUAUUUGAAAAAUGAUCGUUUAGAUUUCUCUAUUUUUUCCUACACUAUCGUUUAAAUUUGAUCGGUCAAAUCUAAACGAUAUUUUUUUUCAAGUUUAUUUGGUACACAAUCAUUUAGAUUUAAUCGUUUAAAUUUGGGUAGUCAAAUCUAAACAAUUUUUCACUAUUUUGGUACACAAACGAUUAUAUUUGGUAUAUGAUCGUUUACAUUUGAUCGGAGUAGCUAAAUUUCAACGAUUUUUUUAAAAAUAUUUUUUAGUAUACAAUCAUUUAGAUUAUGUUCAAGAUCAUUUAUAUUUAAUACAUGAUCGUUUAGAUUUGAUAGUUUAAAUUUGACUACGCAAAUUUAAGCGAUUUUUUUUAAAGACUAUUUGGUACACAAUCGUUUACAUUUUACUAUUCUUUUUUACACGAUUGUUUGUAUUUGGGAGCCAAAUCUGAAAGACUUUUUUUUUUCUUCAAGAUCUUUUAUAUUUGGUAGACAAUCUUGAUCAACCAACAUUUUGAAAAAAAAAUAGAAAAAUAGUCUAUCGAGAAAAAAAAAAAAGAAUUAUCUACUAAAUAUAAAAAGAUCAUACUUAAACCUAAUCGGCCAAAUAAAUUAUAUUGUAAUGAUAAACUAAGCUACAUACAAAUUUUAUUAUUGAAAGGUGUGGAGGAGGAAAUAGAGUAGGGUUUGUUUGGUAAUGUUUAGGAUACUUUUCUUUUCUCUUUUUUCUCUUUUGUCUCAGGUGACUCUCUCUCUCUUUUUAUAUGUUAACAAAACUACAUUCCAUAGCUAUUACUUAUUUUUGUGCUAUCUUUCCUCUUUUUACUAUAACAUUAUAAUUAAUUAAUUAAUUACCUUCCUACUUUUUGUAUUCGUGCUUCUUUGAUAUCUUAAUAAAAAAAAAUAUAAAUAUAAAAAUAACAUUUUUAAAAAUAACAAAAUAAAUUAAAAUAUUUACUACACUUUUAAGCUAGAAUUGAUAGAAUAGAUUGAAAUAUUGGUUGAGUUGAAUUGGAUGGGAAGAGAGGGGGGAGGGAGAGAAAUAAGAUGGAGACAAAAGGUUGAGUUUUCACAUGGGGAUUGGGCAUGUGAUGUGAGUGUCACUUUACAUUUACAUUUUGUGUCUGUCUACCAUGUGGAUUAACCUCCUUAUUCAUCUGGCGCCAGCUCACCCACCCCACCAAAACUUCAUUCUCUCUCUUAUUACAAACUCUUUUUUUCUUCCUUCUACUCAUAUUUGCUAUCUGCGUAUAUACUCUAAUGCCUCAACAAACAAAAAAAAAUUAAGAUAAUUAUUUUAUUUUUAUUUAAUUAAAAUUAACUUAUUCGUCCUUAAUUAAAUAUUUGUUGGAUGAAUAUUUAAUUAAUUAAAUAAUUUGAAUUUGGAGUGUUUGUUGAGAAUUUAGUUUAAUUGUAUGUUACGAGAUUUAGGUGAAGUUGGAAAAAUUAUUUGGCUUUAUGAAAAUUAAAAUUUAUUAAAUAGUUUGAAUGUUAGUCGAUGUGAAAAUUUUGGUUAGAGAUUUGAUUCAUUAUAUAUAUAUAUAGAUAACUAUUAUGAAAAAUAGUAAAGAAAAUUCUACUUAUGAAAAAUUAAUUCUUAUUAACGAUAAUAUUAUAGAUAAUUUGUCCAAGAUAAAACAUAUGACAAACCGUAAGAACGAUUAAGACAUAUGACAGACAAGCAGUCUUUUUAUAUAUUUUCACAUUGUAUCAAUGUAAACAGUUUUAGUUUUCCUUUAACUAAUUUUCAAUUAUAAACAAUUACUAAAAAUACAAUUGUAAAUUUUCAUAAGAAAUCAUAUGAAUAUAUUUAUAUAGUUUUUACUUUGAUACACUUUUCUAUCUACACGUAACUCUCAAUUAGAAAAUUAGCUUGGUGAAACAAAUGUCGGUAGAUAUAUUUAUUAAUACUCUACUCCAGAUAGUAUGAAGUUCAAGACAUUUUGAUGCUCGACUUAGAUAAUAUACAUUAUUUGAAGAUUAACAACCUUGAGUUUAGGUGUGAUUUCUAAAUUUCUUAUUUUUAUUUUUAUUAUUUUUCUUUAAUUUGUUAAAGAAAAUAUUUGAUUUGGGAAUAGUAAAAAUAAAUUGGUGUUAGGUUAAAUGCUUAACAUUCAACCAUCUAAAAAACAAAUUGAUUUUUUUUAAUCUUAAACAUAGAAUCUAUUUUUGUUAAGAUUGCAUAAUUGACACAUGGUCAUAACUUUUUUGCAUUUACAAACACAUCCUAUAUAACGACCCAACUUUUCUAACUAAUUGAAGUCAUUACUUUAAUAUGAGACACAUCCUUUAAAUAUAAGACUUUAUAAAAUUAAAUAAAAAAUAAAUCAACAAAUAUUGAAGAGCAUAUGGCUUGAUUCAGCAGCAUCACGACGUUCGAUGUGAUUCUUGAGAGAUGCAAUCUUAUUAUCCUUUUCUUCAACAACCUUCAUGAACAUGUUGAUCUUUUUUUCAAGCUCAGUCAUUAUGUCUUCACUUGUAUCCACGCCAGUCGCCAUAACCAACAUGAUAUUUAAAUGAGGAGUCUCCUCAUUCAAGCGUUCACAGGAGAAAAUUUGUUCGUCAAUCGCAGGAUUUUCUUUGAUUAUAAUUCCUCCUUUUGAUGGCUUGGACAGUUGUUCCCAAAUGUUCUUUGUGACCUCAAAGGAUGAUAUUUUCUCAGAUGAUUGAGUCUCCCUUGAGCGGCUGCGAGUAUUUGGCUGCUUACUGAUGUCACUUGGAGCUUUGAAAGUGUUGCCUUGGGAUGUCAUGAUUUCUUUCGAUGAUCUUCAAAAGAGGAAGAGAUAAAAGGUAGAGAUUGUCCAACUGGGCGUGCCAAACUGUUCACACGAGAUUUGGAAGAAAUGUAAUUCGUAGAAUUGAACUUUGAUACAUUGAUGAAUAUUGUGAAUACAAUCUGUUCACACGAGAUUUCGAAGAAAAUGUAUUUCGUAGAAUUGAACUUUGAUAUAUUGAUUGAUAUAGUGGAUACAAUCUCUAGUAUUUACUCAUUUGAUAUUUUCUCUCGAAUUCAAGUUAAAACUUAGAACUUCUUUAUCUUCAAUCUUUAGGAUGUUGUAGUUACAAGUCGAUUUGAACUUCGAUCUUCUGGAAACCAAGGAAAGUUUAAUCUUCCAAGUCUUCAAUCUUUCAGAAGUUGUUGAUCUCGAGGUUGAUACGAACUUGCACGUCUUAAGAGCUUGUAGAAGUUUGAAUUUUCAAUUCUUCAGAGCUUCAGAGCUUCGAUUCUUCCUAUAACCAAAGACUCUCUCAAAUGAAUCGCAAAGGUCUCUAUUUAUAGAGAAAUUUUAUGGGCUUUAGGUGGGCUUGGGCACAUUUGCUUGUUAGGGUUGGACUUAUACCAAUUUACUUGUUGGGCUUAGAUUUGGGUUUGGGUUGAGUAAACAUAAUUAUCAAAAUCCAAUAAAAAUAUAAUUAUCAAAUAUUUGUUGUGAUGAUAUGGCAAAAUUUAAUUGGCCGAAAUUUCUUGCUCAACACAAUCUCUAGUAUUUACUCAUUUGAUGUUUUGCCUCGAAUACAAGUUAAAAACUUAAAACUUCUUGGUCUUCGGGCUUCAGAAUGUUUUAGCUGCAAGUCGAUUUAAACUUUGAUCUUUUGGAAUCCAAGGAAAGCUUAAUCUUCCAAGUCUUCAAUCUUUCAAAAGUUGUUGAUCUCGAUGAUGGUACAAACUUGCAUAUCUUGAGAGCUUGUAGAAGUUUGAAUCUUCAACUCUUCAGAGCUUCAAUUCUUCUUUCAGCCAAAGACUCUUUAAAUGAGUGGCAAAGGUUUCUAUUUAUAGAGAAACUUCAUGGGUUUUAGGUUGGUUUGGGCUUGGGUCCAUUUGUUUGUUGGGCUUGAACUUGGGCCCAUUUGCGUGUUGAGCUUGAGCUUAGACUUGGACACAUUUCUUGUUGGGCUCGGGCCCCCUUGUUUGGUCCGAUUUUUCAUCAUGGGCUUGCAUUGAGUUGGAUAUGAAAAAACUUGACUACUCAAAAUCCAAUCAAAUUAUGAUCAUCACAAUUUUGAUGACGUGGUAGAAUUAAAUUGACUGAAUUUUUUUGUUCAACAAUGAGUGUUGAUUGCUUGUGGUUGUAGUUGAGAAUAGGAGUGGAGCUGAGGCAUUUUGGCGACGAAAAUGAUUACUUCUUGUCAAAAAGUGUAUUGAACAACUCUCCAUUUCUCUCCUUCUUUCUCAUCUCUCCUUCUUCAACCAUUAUCUUCUCUUAUUCAUAUGCUUCAAACAAUAUAGAGAUAAUGAUAAUAACAAGAGUAAAAGUGUCAAAAUUCGUACUUUUACCGUUGGAAUAGUAACAAUAAAUUUGAAAGUAACAAUGCAAUAAAAAUUUUAGAUGUAAUUGAAUUAAACAUACUCUACUCUUCAUUCCGUUCAAGUUUUUCUAUGGUAGGUUUUGGAAGUUCAUAUUGAUGCAAAACACAAGUAAAAUAACACAAAAAAUAAUCAAAUUAGACACACUUUUCACGUUAACAUUAGUUUGUUACAUUAAAUAAUGAGAUAAGUGCGACCUAUAAAUUCAAAAUAUUAGCAGAUAUAACAUUGUAAAUUUUUUUUAUAAAUACAACAAAAUUUAGAUCAAUUUUACAUCUACAAUGAUAGACUAUAUUGCUAACUGGGAGUCUCUACCAGUGAAAAAGACGAUCACACUGACAAAAGUAUAUCAUCGAUAAAGUCUAUGGUUGAUUUUCAAUUCAUUAAAAAUGUUGUUAUACAAUUAAUUAUUCUUAAUAUUGUUAUCUAUCACGAUUAUUUUGAUUUAUUUAAAUAAUAAAAAGUUUCCCAUUUAUAUAUAUAUAUAUUCGCAAAUUCCUUGGAUGGCACCAUAAAUUUACCAAUUAAUGACCGGACUAAGUUAAUUUAAAGAGAAAGAGAAGCUUGACAUAGGAUGAAGAUUUUGAACAAUGCGAGGACUGUUUCUUAAUGACCUUUCAGAUUACACUGAGUACCUUAACAAUGCUUGUAUUUAUUUUAAAAGAAGAUUGAAUUUGAGCUUGACUAUUUUGUCCAUAAGUUAAUAUUUUUAGUUACAUAUUAAAUGUUGUUUUUUUGUCUAUAUUAUAUAUAUAUAGUUCAACUAUCAAUGAGAUGACAUCACGUGAAAAGAAGGCUUUCCCGUCAAGGUUUAUUCUACAGUCAGAAAUUCACAACCAUUUUAAUGAUUCUUCCUUUUAUUUAAUUACGUAAGCAACCUUGUGACACUAUAUAUAUAUAUGUAUGUGUGUGUAUAGAUAUAAUAUUGGAUAACUUACGUAAAUAUAGUAAAACCGUAAAUAGUUUUUGGUAUGAGAGUAGAAGAUCAUGUAUAGGUAUAGUUCGUGUUCAAUAUGUCGUAACAAAAAGUUAAAGCCUAUGAAACCACAAUUGUUUUUUCAUGAAUUACAAACUUGUCAUUUGUUAGUUUUGCAUAUUACGGAACCAUUCUUCACUUCACUUCAUUUUCUUCUUUUUUUACAAUUUACUCUUCUCUUCUUCAUACUUCUUCUACUUCAUAUUUCCACUUCUUUUUGUUUGUGAUUUCUUUAUCUUCUCUCACCUAAUUUCUUCUUUCUUCUUCAUAGCUCAUCUUCUUUUUUUUCUUCUUGGUACAAUAUCUAAACAAUAUUGCUACAAGAUCUAAACGAUUGUGUAACAAUGUAUAAACGAUAAGUUAUCAAUCCCAAAUAUACAGAGAUAGACCAUUAUCACUAAUAAAUUAUUUAGUUUUGAUACAAGAUCGUUUAGACUGAGUAUAACGGUACAAGAUCAUGUAGCAAGAUCAUUUAGAUUUUAUACAAGAUCGUUUAGACUAGGUACAAGAUCGUUUAAGUUUAGUACAAGGGUACAAGAUCGUUUUUUCAAGUGUAUGCGAUCGGUUAAUCGUAGAGUAUUUUUGUUAUUUCACCUUAUGAGCUUGUGAGUUUUUUCCUUUUUCAAAAUUGUUUGUAAAUAUUUUUGCGUUUUGUUCUUUUUUUACACGGUAUAAAACAAUGUGAAAUAACAAAAAUACCCCCACGAUUAAUCAAUCACAUACACAUGAAAAAUUAUUUUGCACUCCGUCUAAAAUGAAAAUAAGUGAGAUGAUCAACUAUAUCCUCCAACUAUAACAAAAGUAAAUAACUGAGAGAAUAGCUAAAGAAACACAAAGAACAAAUAACACAAAAAUUUAAUCAAAGACAGGCUCCCCUUGAAUUUGUGUCUGAAUCUUCUUGAAAAUAAACUUCCUGAAUUCAUUGAUCGCAGUUCAACUAUUUCAGUCUUCUUUCAUAUUUCUUAUCUACAUGUGCAACGUAAAUUCCACUUGCAAAACUUCGGUAAUCCAUCUUCAUAAAGAAGACAAUUCAACUACCUUCACAAAUAAUAAUUCUUCAAGAGAGAACUUCUCCGAAAUCAAUUUUUCAUCCAUGCACACGCUGAACUAAGCCAAUAGCUUAACUAUUUAAAAAUCACGAUAAUAUUCUCCUGUAACUUCUUUAUGCAAUGAUAUAGAUAAAAGAAUUCUAUUAUGAACGAAAAUCUUUUGUCUUUAAAUAAUAUCCUUUAUUUAAAUAACCAUAAAAAGAAAAUUAUUAUUUCUUUUUUACAAAAAUACUCAACAUAAACGAUCUCGUAUGUAGUCUAAACGUUCUCGUAGCAAGUGAUCUAAAUCAUUUAUUUAUACUACUCUUUAACCUGAACUAGUCAUUCUCAAAUCUUUGUCCAAUUGUCAGCUCCUACUUAAAACUUUCCACGUAUAAAAUUAAUCUUUAUCUUAGUCAUGCUUAAAUCCUUAAUCUUACGCAUUAACUCUUGUCAAAUAAAAUUUGACAUCUUCUCGUCAAACUUUUCUUCUCGUCUAACUCCAUAUCACAAAAAGCUUUAACCGCUUAACAUAAUUUUUUAAGGUCCUAAUACAAUAACUACUUAUGUAGACUACCCACCUUUUCUCACGAAGACUCUUUCUCUUGUGAGCGUUUAGACUUAUAGGUCUUAUCGCAAAUCCUUCUUUUCUCAAAACUUCCUCGCGAACUAACUUCUUAAUCGCAAAACGUAUACUUAACUAUAUAAAAUUUUAUCACUUAAUCCUUUCCACAGAUAGAUUCAAAAUCCAACUUCUUAUCCAAAUCGCAAAAUCAAAACAUUUAGCCAAAUUAUACUUCCUAUACUCAAAUUAGAAAUAGGUCAAAAAAGAAAUAAAAUAAGAACUAAACAUGAACAAUCAUCCAAACCAUAAAAUUAUUAUAGAUUAAUAGCAAUUUUUACCAAACAAUCAUUUUGUAAACAUAAUAAGUAAAACUAAAACGUGUUAAUAGGCAUAAAAGAAUAUGCUCUCAAACAUUUAAACGAUGCAUAAUGUUUACAUAAAAUAUUUUAUACGAUGUUCAAAAUUACAAAACAAAAGAGAAUAUUAUAGCCCUACCUUUUGAAAAUGAUCAAAGUGUAGAAAAUCGUGCUAAUAACGUAUUAUGAAAUAUGAACAAUCAUACUAAACAAGAACAACAAAGCAACACAAAAAUAGAAUAGAUAAGAGAGAAAGUAUAGAAAACAAUUGAACUCAAGUGUGAUAUAUUGUCUAACAAAUGCACUACAUACUAUUUAUAGGACAUGUCGUUGUAUAUGUUACAAUAUGAAAUUCAAUAAGAUGAAUGUUAGAACAUGGAAUUGAAGGAGAGUAAUAUGACAAUUGGUAACUUAUGUAAGCCGUGGAUAUCUACACAUUUAUAAUAUUUUAUGGAGUGUUUGCAAAAGUAGCAAAAAAAAAUUAUGAUAAUAGAGUUCAUGUCACUACAUUUUCUAAAUUCCAAAAGUAGAUAACUCUUUGAUAGUCUCUUGAUAACUUUCUGAUAACCCUUUAAUAUAUCUAAUUACUUGUUAUAUUUGUUAUAUUUGCAAUAAACAAAAAAGAGGCGUUUGUGGAGUUGUUUUUUUCUAAAUUUUUGUUGGUUAUGUGAUGCAAUUUCUCAUAUUUUAUUACAUUUACAAUAUUGUUCAAUUUUAUCAUUUAUUUGUCUCUAAUUUUCUGUGUCAAGAGUUCUUAUAAUGUUUUCCACUAAUUUUAUUCUAUUUUUAUAAAAAGAAACAAAUUAUUCCCACCUUUUUCCUCUCCAAUGGUUUUGAACUUUCUUUCUCUUGUUUUUCUGGUGAUCGAACAUUUUGCACUUGAUUUUUCACUCAAAUAUGGAGGAUUCAAACGAAUACUUUUUGUUGUUAACUCAUUAGUUUAUGAUUCUUUUUCGUCGGUAUUGGUUAUUGUUAACAAAAUGCGUAGAUAUGAUCACAUAAUUUGGAGGAUUUAAGUUGAUCGAUUAUGUUUUUAACUUUUCUGUUUCUUAGUCUUUAAUUAUUUUCCUAUCUCUAUAACUUCAUUUCUCUGUUUCUCUACAUUCCAAUUUUUGUUUUCCCAAUUAAAUUUCUCUCAAUAUUUCUCCAAUGACUUUAACAUGUUUUUUCUUUUCUUAGCUCUCUAUUUUUUUUUCUCCCUUAAAACUUUCAUCUUUCUAUAUAAUUUAGAACAGUGUUGUUUUAACAUAAAACACUUUUGCUCCUCAAAUUUUCAAAAUUACAUCCCAAUCAUGAAACAAAAUACAAUUGAAAAAGUGCUUUUUCAACCUUUCAAAUGUCAUACCAAAUUACCCUUAAUUAUUUAAAGGAACACCUUUCUUUUCUUCUUCUUUUACUAUUCUUAAAAGUAAUAUAAAAAAGAUUAUUUAUGAAGAUUACUACGUGAAGGUUACUACUUAAAUUAAAAGUCUGUUUGUGUGUGUGUGUGUGUGGGAGGGAAAGAAAGAGUAAAUCAUAAGGCUCAUCAAAAGCACGUGCUGUGGAUUUCUUGCAUUGAUAGUUGUUUUCAAUGCUGAAAAAUCACUUUUCAGAUUACUAAGUUACUUAUUUAUAUUUAUACACACAUACUGGAUUGCUGCAAUUCUGUACAUCAUUGGAACAUGAGAGCAUGUGGUUAUCAAAGUACUUUUUUUCUGUAUACUUAAUUAAAACCUUAAAUUCUAAACUAAUCAUAAAGCUUAUAAGUUGAAUCAAAUACUGAAGUGGCAUGAUUACAGUAAACUAAAAAGAAAAAUAGAAGAAAAAGAAAGUACAAAGUUUAAUUAAGAAGAGGUACAAUUUGUAAAUGGGACCUGAUGGGGGUCCAACCAAAGCACUUGAAAGAGAAAAAAAAAACGAAAAAAGAAAAACCCAUUUUGAGCAAGUAAAGGGUGGCAGGCCCCCCAUGUGUUCACACAACAUCAACUUAAAAUGGGAAAAGGAAAGUACCAAACUAAAAUUUAAAAUAAAUCAAUUUUAACUUUAGAAAUUUUAGUUUAAUUUAAUUUCGUAUAGGUAUUAAAAAGAAGAAAAAAAAAAACCAUUCUCAUCUCUCUCACGUCAACUUCUUUGCUUUUGCUCUCUCUUACUGAUGUCCACAUCUAUGAUGUUGAGAGACACAAAUGGAUAACAGGAUAAGCCUUUACCAAUGAAUUUUCAAAAAGUUUGUUUGCUAACGCUGUUUUUUUUAUCAUACAAUUGGACCACAACCCCCAAUAUCAUAAUCCAUUCUCUUCCAGAUAAAUAAAUUUUAUAUAUCUUAUUCCACCCCGACCUCCUACUAACCGUUGCCCUAGUAAAAAACUGUUAGUCACGUUGUGACAACAGUAAUUAUACCUCACGAAAGUUACAUAUAACAUGAUUGAUAGAGUUUGAUAUAUUUACCAUCAAAUUGUAACCUAUUAUUAUAAUUCGUUUGGUUAACUCAUUUGCCUUUUCCGGUUCUUCUUUCAUUGUUUUAAACUUUUGAUCAUAAAGUUGGGCCUGAAUCUGGGCCACAUGGGCCAUGGGCCUACAUGAUGAUAGACCAACUCACUUUUGAUGUAUUAUUUCGUCGGCUGUGGUGUACAUGCCAUUAAAUCCGUACUUUCUUAUAAGUUGGACUUGAGGCCCAACUACUUUUGAUGCAAACCAUAAUCAAAUUGAUAGAGACUUUAGUGAGACGAGAAAAAUAUUUGAAGAAGUAACACUCAUAUUUAAGUACGUUUCAUUUUGUUUAAAUUAUAUUUGCUAAAUAUUAAAAUUGACUUUCAUGAAUUAAUUAUUGUCAACUACGUUAUUCCAGUACAAUCUUUAUAAUUAUUUGAUUAAAGAUAAUGUUUAAUUGCAUCAAAAUAGAUUAAUUCUUAUGUUUGACACUAUCAUAAUAUAAGGAUAUAAUCAAUCAAUUAUUUGAGAUUAUUUAUGACACAUGUCCAUGUAAUAAUCUAAAAAAUGUUCAGUCCAAUUCUUAUUCUCUAAUAAGAAAAUAUGAUUAUAAUUUAUGUUUCUACAUAUAAUUAUCCUAAGAUUAUCAAUUAUAACUCAUACUAAUAUUAAUUUAUUAUUUUUUCCACAAGAAUAAUCGAUUAGAGACAUUUAGAAUAUAUUAACAUAUUCAUGGAUAUUAUUAUACAAUAACAUGCAAUUGAAUAAUAAUGAGAAUGAUAAAAAAAAUUGUUAAAGAGCCUAGUAAAAAAACCAACUUAACAUUUAGUUUCUAAUAUAAAUUAUAAUUUGGUAUUUUAAUAUUUUUCAUCAAUUUUAUGUUAGUUAUCUUUCAUAAUUUUAUUUAAUUUAAAUCGAAUCGAAACCCAAAAGAGUAUUGCACGAUAAAAAAAAUUGAAUACGAUAAUUAGAAAAAAUACAUAUAUUAAAAAUGUCUCCAUACACCUUUUAUGCGUCAGGAAUGAUGCCCUUUCCCUGACGUUGUGAGCAACGCGUUGAAAGUACCUAUCUCCCGAUGUUGGAAGGGGAUGUCAGCAGUCCCCUAUUGUCGACGUUCUCUAUCCGUCAACAAUAGCGGCGUCGGGAGAAAGGCAUUCCCGAUGCCUUUCCGUUUGCACAUCAGAAGUUACACUUCCCUUACGAACUACUACCAACUUCCUUUUCAACGACACCAUAUACAACAGGAGACCUUUCCUUAAUGCUUUUGGGUAUCUGUGCCGACACUUGGCAGCAUCAGAAGAUCCCCAAUUUCAUGUAGUAUUGUCCUACUCUUAAAACUAAAUAUAUAAGUGAAGAAUACUAAAUGUAUCUACAAUGCAUCAAGUGUAUCAAACAUAUCAUGUACAUCAAACGUAUCAAAUUUGUUUAGUGUACCAAUAAAGCAUAACAAUUUUAUUGGCGGUGUAUCAAACUUAUAAGUGAAGUAUUUAAGUGUAUCAAGGCAUAAGGGGUAUCAAGUGUAACGAGAAGUAUUAUGUGUAUCAAGAUGUUUUAUAUGUGUAUCAAAAGGUACUAUCGAGUAUAUUAAAAAGUAUCAGGUGCAUCAAAUGUAUCGAUGUACCAAGAAGUAUCAAGUGUAUCAAGCGAUAUUAAGUGUAUUAGACGUGUAUAUAGUUGUAUUAAAUGUAUAUUAGUAACGAGGGAAUUUGUGACAUUUUAUCUCUUGAUAUGUGGGUUGAAUUUUGUUUUUGUCAUUUUUACAAAUAAUAAAGUAUACGUGUGCUAUAAACUUAAUUAUUAUAACUUGUUUUGUCAUUUCUACAGACGUUCCUUUAUAAAAAUUGUAACAAACCAUAAGAAGCGUUCUAUCGUAUCGUAUGGAUAAAGAUUAAAUUUGAAAUUGGAGGAUAAUAAUUGUGUGAAAGAGUUGUUUGAUAAAGAUGAAUAUGAUAGUUUAGCGGAAGAUAGAAGAGAGGUUGAGAUGUUUGGCAGCCGCAACGGCAACCAAAUUGAUUAUUUUUCGUUUUUCAGAAAAGAAAAAUACACGUGGCUACAUUGGAGAAGUUAGUACUAAGGUACGCGACCCAGAAUGCUAAGGUGCGCCAACAAGAGAUGAUGGGAAUCUGCGAAUCGCGUAAGAAAUGAGCCGGUUGGUUUCUCGGCUUUUGCCUUUUCUUCUCUUUUAAAGUCAACCUUCAGGGGGUAAUUGCGUAAUUGCAUAUGUGCCUUAAAUAAUUAAAACUCCUUGGGGAAAUUAAAAUAACAAUAAUAAUACUAAUAGGAUUUUUGAGGUAUUUUAAUUUAUAUUUUUAUAUGAUGAAUAGGGACAAGUAAUUGGUUGGUUCAAUUUAAGAUGAUGUAUUUUGAAAAAGAAACAUAAAUCUCACCGCCAGAGAUCAAAGUAAUAUGAAGAAGAAAAGAGGAGACGGGUGAUGAAAACAAGACAAAUAUCUUUACAAAAAUAAAGUAACUCAAACAAAACAAAAUGUUUCCAUAAAUAUUACUUUACGUACCUUAUUUCAAAUUUAAAUUUAACAAAUAUGUUUUAUUUUAAAUUUAAUAUUUUAAAUACUACCUAAAAAUACCUUAACCGUAUAAUUAUAAACAUCAACGAAUUUAUUAUAAGUUGGCCUCCAAUUUUAUUGUCUUUAUAUAACAUCUAUAAAAAAAUUAAUUAAUAUUUAAUAUUCAUAGGUAAAUUAAUGAUAAUUGUGCUUCUAAACCUCUCUUAUCUAUCUAGUUUUUUUUUCUAGACUUUUAUUUAUUAUUUUAUAGUGAUAAAUUAACGUGAAUAAAAAAGCUGUUAAAAAUUUUGUAAAUAUUUUGUUCUUUUUAUCUUUUUCACAUAAAUAAUUUGAGUUAAUCGUUUUGAUAUGAUAUAUUUGUUAUAAAUUUUCAUAGUAUUUUUUUCAGAUUUCAAAUAUAAAAUUUUAAAACGUGAGAAUGUCAUAUAAUUUAUUUCUGUUCUUAAAAAAAAAAUUAAAAGAAAAUUUACCUAACAAAUAUUUGUUAGAAUUUAUUUGAUUUAAUAAAAUGACAAAAACACACCUGAUUUUAAUAACAAACGACUGAAAAAAUCUUUACAUAGUUAGAACAUUUUUAAUACUUUGGUAGUAUGAAAUUUUUGUUUCACUUGUUACAACAGUAACAUUUAAAAGAUAUAUAGAAUCUAUGAAAUAAUAAAUAAUAAAUCAUUUAAAUGAUAUGCUAAAUAAUGAAUGGAAAUAAUUGAUAUUUCAAAAACGAUACAAAUAUAAUUUCAAAAAUGAAAAAAGUUCACCGACCACGAUAGAAAAUACAAAAAUGUUAUGCGAUUAAUUUGUCGAUAAGAAAAGAAAAGAAAAAUUGGAGAAAAAAUAAUAUGAAAAAAAAAAAAGUCAAAUGAAAAUAUUUAUAAAAAGGACAAAAAUAUCGUAGAAGCAAAAAAAAAAGAUCGCACAAAAGAAGAAAAUGAUGAUAAAGACAAACCCAUAUAUUUUUUUUAGUUUGUUUAUUUUAUUACGUGACCAUAAAUAUUUUAUAAGUUUUCUAUAUUUAUGAAAAUUAAGGAAAUUGAAAUCUAUUUAAAUAUUUUUAAAUUCAAAUAUUAUUAUUUCACAUAUAAAAGUUUAGAGGAUGGAAUUUGUAUUUUAAUCAAUUUUUUAAAUAUUGAAAAGAAGUAGUUUAUUGUGUUUGCUUUGUUGUCCAGAAGCAAACAUAAACAAUAAAACAUUCGAUAUAUAUAUAAGAAGAAGGGUAACAUACAUGUAAGAUUUAUAUAUAUAAAAAAAUUAUAGAUAGUUGUAUUUGCUUUUCAAAAGUUUAUAGAAACGAGUAAAAAUGAUGUAGCCAGAAGAAAAAGUAAAAAAUAUGUUGGCGCGAAUUCUAUAUCCUAGACCUAAAACGUUACAUAUGGAUAUCAUUUCGUUAUAUAAUUUACCACAAACACCGUCAUAAAUACAAGUUUAUUAAAAAUAUAAAUACACGUGGUACUUGUUUAACACAAAAUUAUUUAACAUAAACCGUGACAAAUGAAAUGAAAGAAAGCAAAUAAAAAAUCUUUCAUUUAAAAUUUGAGUAAAGCAAAGAAGAAAGCAGAUUAUUUUAGUGUUGAAAAGAGAGAGAGAGAAAUUGUUUUUCUUUUUGUUAUUAUAAUUAACUUUCAGUUCAUAGAAAAAAGGUAGUUUGUUGUGAGAAAUUGGUUCACGCGUUGGAUUUAAUAUUAAGCCUGCAAGACUUGGGUUCUGUCUCACCCAAAUAGACAGAGGAACAGAGUUCUUACUCUCAAGAAGCUACAAAGGAGAAGACCCUGAGCUAUUUCUUCUUCUUUUUUUCCCUUUUCUAUCGCUCCCUUGUUCUUCAAUCUAUUCUUCUGCCAUGGGUUUUUUGUUUUAGGUUGUGGGUUUUCAACCCCAUCUACAGAUUCCUGUAUUUUCUUCAUUUUCAGCCUUGGAUUUUGCUCAUCUUCAAUUGGUAAGUUUCUUAGCUUCUAAUCUUCUUCUAUAUCUGUUUACUGAAGCUCUCUAAUAGGGUUUCUUAGCUACUAGGUUUACUUACUGUCUAGAGCUACUUUCUAUAUCUACAAUGGUUUUCUCUACCCUUCUACUUUUAGGUUUUAUAACAUUUCCUUACUUUUUGGCUUGUGUUGACCAUUUCUUACUUUUGUUUAUGUAUGGUUUAAAUUUUCAUUUAGUUUCUGUGUUUGGUAUUCCUUGUGGAAGCACACUUGGUGAGGAAAUGGAUUAUUGACCUAUUUGACUAAUGGGGUUUUUGUGUUUGGACCUUUUUCUUGUGUUCUCCUUUUUGUUUCUUCUGUUUUCCUGGAGUACCAUUUAGUUGUAACUUGCUUUUGAAUUUGAUAAUGCGGUUUCAGUUUUUUUUCUUUUUUUGUUUUUUAAUCCACUGAUCAGCUGAUUCAUAGCCUAUUAACCUAUGUUCUGUUUGCUUGAAUGAUUUUGUUGGUGUCUGAAAUUUAUGUUCAGCUGUUUCGGAAAUUCACUAGGCCAGAAAAGAAAUCCAUUCUUCAGAAAUGUCAGAAACUUAAAAUUUUUGCACAGUUUUUUUCGUUUGGCUUGAUGAGUUUUGCAAGAGGAGCUCUUUGCUUACUAAGUUUAUCAAAUCAAAUGAUUCGGAUUGAUAAAUUAUAUUUGAACACACACAAAAUUUGGUUCACAUCAGGUCUAAAAUUCAUCAUUUUGUGUCUUUGGGAAACCCAGUAUUUAGGCUGGUUCUUGUCUUUGUAGAGAACAUAAUAGAAUAUCUUUUAUAUGUUUUUGUGUUCCUUGUUUCAUUAUUUUUUCAGUGUGAUGAAUAACAUUUGAAUGUUGUCUCUUUUAUAUGCAGUUGAUGGUGGUGUAUGUUGUGGUUUCGAUUAUCUUUUAAGUGGCAUCACACAACAGCUACAUUAAACAUACGUUAAUCAGAAUUUUGUGACACAUCCAGUGAUGUCGUUUCGUAGUAUAGUUCGUGAUGUUAGAGAGGGGUUUGGAAGUUUAUCCAGGCGUAGUUUUGAGGUGAGACUGCCCGGUCACCAGCGGGGUAAAUCUCAUGGAUCAGUCCAUGAUUUGCAUGACCAACCUCUGGUAAUUCAAACCAGUCGUUGGGCUAGUCUCCCACCUGAGCUAUUGCGGGAUGUAGUCACGAGACUGGAGGAGAGUGAGAGUGUGUGGCCUGCUCGAAAACAUGUUGUUGCUUGUGCUGCUGUUUGUAGGUCGUGGAGGGAAAUGUGCAAAGAGAUAGUAAAAAAUCCGGAGUUCUCUGGAAAAAUUACCUUCCCUGUCUCCUUAAAACAGGUACAAAAGUAACAAAGUGCUUUCCAUGUUUGUAAUUCUUUUCACACGUGUUGAACGCAGAAAGACAUAGAAGAGUACCUUUUGCAAUUCUUAUUUCAUUUCUUUUUGCAGCCAGGGACUCGGGAUGGAACCACUCAGUGCUUUAUUAAGAGGGACAAAUCUAAUUUGACUUAUCACCUUUACCUCUGCCUAAGUCCUGGUAAGCUUUUCUUCCAUGGUUACAUCUGUUUGUUUUUCUUUCAUUGUACAUCAUAUGGAUUUAAAUACUUUUGCCCAAAGUUGUUCAUUAGGAUCUAAUCAUUGAGAGACAUGGGGUUCAUUCUCUGUUUGUAUGGGCCUGUGACUCAUUUGGUAUGAUGUUGCCAUAAUGCGUGUCUAUGGGCUCUUCCCCACCAUAUGCCGAAAGAUUUCUGAUUUUUUGGAUAGUGCUGCAUUGUUUCGUCAUCAUAUCAUCUCGUGUAUUUUAACAUUUGCUUUUAUUUUAAAUGAAUCACAUGAACCUUUUACACACGCAGCUGUUAUCUAAAAUGGGAUAACUACAAGUAAUUUAUAUGUAAUAUCGGUUUUGUUUUGAGAUGUGAAUCUUCUUUUUUUGUGUUCAUGGUCGUUACAUAUCAGUCCUUGGAUAUUUAGCAAAGUAGUUCCACCAUUAGAUGAUGAAGUCCGAAUAUAUGUCCAGAUAUUUUACAAUGGAGUUUGUAUUGGAUAAUGAACUGUGAUUCCUAAAACUGGAUAUUUGACAAAGUACUCCUUUUGGAUGAUGAAUUCUGAAAAUAUUAAAUAUUACGAUAUGGAACAUGCAUGCAUGCAUACACACACAUGUUCAUGAAUCUGUCUGAUAAGGGUUCAGCCUCAAUUUUAUUUAUCAAUAAUGGGUGAGUUCAAGAGUUUCCCACAAUCUCUUAACAUUUAUCCUUAUUGCAGCUUUACUUGUUGAUAAUGGGAAGUUUCUUCUUUCUGCCAAAAGAACGAGAAGAACAACCUGCACUGAAUACGUGAUCUCCAUGGAUGCAGAUAAUAUAUCAAGAUCAAGCAACACUUACAUUGGAAAACUAAGGUAGAAUUGUUUGUCUCCAUCCAAGUUCCCUGGUACUCUAAGAUAUUAUUAAUUAUGACACUUUUCUAAAUGAAGGAAUUACACCAAGCUGAAUGAUUAUCAAUGUACACUCCAUAUGGAUCUUGUUCAAAUGGAGGGUUUGGUAAAUUUAACGUAGCGAUCCAACUCUUUAUACUAAGCUGGAGUCAUUACUACUAAUUUAAAUAAAGAUUUUCUAAAAGAAAAUAAAUAAAUAAAAGUAGAUAUUAAACCUUUCAAUAAAAACGUCAAAUACUUAAUUAUAAAUCAUAAACAAAUAAUCUAGAAAUAAAAAUAAAAUGUCAAAUAUUAGUUUGGGCCCUAUUUCAAAUAACAAGAAAAUAUUUUAAGAGUACUCAUGAGUUCUGAAAUUUUAAAUAAAAUAUUGUAAGCAUAAAUGGAGAAGAAAUCAUAAACUUUCCCUUAUGGCGAACCACAGUCACUUCUUGUCAUUCGCUAGCUUUCCUCUACAGACCUUUGCCUGAAAAAUUAAAUAUAAAAAGAGUGGGUAUAAACAUAUACUCAUGAAUGGACUCACUACUAGUCCCGCUAGGUGUCUGUUAACUUCUCGUUAGGGUCCAAUAAGAAGGUAUCUCAUAACUAUCGUGCUCGCGAACACACGCUAUCUAGUGAUCCUAAGAAACCCAAUUGGUCUUUGGUGAUUCCGAAGGAACACCUAAGAGAAACUUGUCUUCGGCGACUCAAAGGAACGCCUAAGAGAAUCGGGCUAAAAGUGACCUCAUCAAAUCACUCAUAAAAGUUAGCCACAUGCAUAAAUAGGUGGUGAUCUCAAGGGACACCUAUAUGGGUACGAUUUUAAUAGACAAAGCUAACAGAACACCAUAGCCUAUACAUGUAGUAUAUCAUAAAUAUCAUAUCUCAAUCAUUACAUAUGUAGAUCAUAGCAUGUCUCUUUCAUAAUAUAUCUCGGUCAGACCAUAUCUCAGUCAUACAUAUCUUAGUCAUUCAUAACGGUCAUCUAUGUAGCCAUCUUUAACAGUCAUCUCUAACAGUCACAUUAUGCAUCCUAGCUACACUAAUGCAUAAUAAGGGAAACAUACAUGCAAACUUUAAUGUCGAAGGUCUAAUAGUAGAAUUUGUUGUCCAAGAUUAGCUUAACAGAAAUUGUUUCUAAUAGUCACAGCCAAAGCUUUCCAAACAGACAAAAGUCCAAAACAUAAACGAGUGGGGAUGCUUCACGAAUAUUGAAUAUUUCACGAACUCCUUCCUUUUUUGGAAAAAAUUAUACGAGUGGCCUGAUUUUGAUUUGUUUAUCUGCCUGUUUGUCAAAUUCAUCUCUUUUAUAUUCGUUAGGUUUCAUUAUUGGGGAAACAGUUUCAAAAUAUUGAAAGAUUACCACAUAUCUCUUAAUGCAAACAGGAAAAGUGCAUCUUGUGGCUUUUACUAAUUAUUUGCAUCAGUUAGAUUGAAUUAUUCAUCUCGAAUUGUUUUCUUGUAGAAAUGUACCUAGUUACACGUUGCAUCUUUUAGUUUGUUUACAUGGAUCUGUUCUCUUCAUUUCAGGUCAAAUUUUCUUGGGACCAAGUUCAUUAUUUAUGAUACACAGCCUCCAUACAACAAUGCCCAGAUUUCCCCACCUGGCCGUAGCCGUAGAUUCUACUCGAAGAAAGUUUCUCCAAAAGUCCCAACUGGUAGCUAUGACAUUGCUCAAGUCACUUAUGAAUUGAACGUUCUUGGCACAAGAGGCCCCCGAAAGAUGCACUGCACAAUGCACUCCAUCCCUACCUCAUCUCUGGACGCUGGUGGCACUGUUCCAGGCCAACCCGAGGUUGUUCCUCGACUCCUUGGGGAUUCAUUUCGAAGCAUAUCAUUCUCCAAGUCUGUCUUCAACUCUACAGAGUUCGGUAGUUCCCGUUUCUCUGACAUUGUUGGCUCUCGAGACGAAGAUGAGACGGGGAAGGAGAGACCAUUGAUUCUUAGGAACAAGCCGCCACGGUGGCAUGAGCAGUUGCAGUGUUGGUGCCUUAAUUUCCGGGGGCGAGUAACUGUUGCCUCUGUCAAAAACUUUCAACUGAUAGCCGCUACAGAGCCUUCUUCAACAGCUACAAACCAAUCACAGCCAAAUCAACAUGCCCAAUCCUCCCAAUCUGACCAUGACAAGAUCAUUCUUCAAUUUGGAAAGGUUGGGAAAGACAUGUUUACCAUGGAUUACCGUUAUCCAUUGUCAGCAUUUCAAGCUUUUGCAAUCUGUUUGAGUAGCUUUGACACCAAAUUGGCUUGUGAAUAAAUGAAACUAGAAGCCCCAUCGUGAAAUCGAGGGAUCUUAUGAUGGUUUCUUUCUUCUUUCAGAAUAGAAUGUAUUUGGUUGUAUGCAGUGACUGUAAAAAGUCAUCUUGAAAAAUUUGUAUAACAGUGUGUGCACCCCAAAGAGAUUUCUUUCUGGCCUACCCUCGCCCUCCCAUCUUUGGUUCCUUUUGCCUAGUUUGCUGUUCGCUAGUCAACAAAAGUACAUUGAAUAUUGAAAUGUAGACAUAGUUUCUCAUUGGUCUGCAGAGGUUCAAUGGAGGGGUUAGUAAACCUUUGCAGUUUUAAGUUUUAAGCUCCAGAUGAAUAACAUUAGAGGUCCCUUCAAAAGGAGAGUGCGGUCUGCAGAGGUUCAAUGGAGGGGUUAGUAAACCUUUGCAGUUUUAAGUUUUAAGCUCCAGAUGAAUAACAUUAGAGGUCCCUUCAAAAGGAGAGUGCAUUAAAAAACAAAUACAUUUCACUUAGCUAAAGCAAAUCUAGGUAAGACUGAAAUCCCAUAUAUUUUUUUUUUAGGCAAAGUUAUGAUUCAAAGAAGCAAUAAUUGAUGUUUCCUCGUUGAUUAGCUUUUUCAAGCAAGGCUCUAGAGCUGUGGCAUGAGCAGCCUUGGUCUUUCCUUUUCUCCUCUUUUGUUUAUGUUUUUUCAGUGUUUAUCUACCAAAUACCAUUAGAUUUUUGCAGUAAUGAUAAUGUGGGAUAUAGCAACUUUUUUCUAUUUCUUUUUUGUUUAUUCCUAAAAUACUCUUGUUUUAAGUGUAAUUGGAAUGAGUAGCAUUUUUAGAAGAAUUAAUUAAUGAUAUCUUUUCAUUUUGUUGUUUAAUUGUAGUAUAUAUAGUGUUCAUAUUGUACGGUGGCUGAAAGCCUAUAUUCUUUAUACAUAGACUGCAUGUUUAUACCUUUUUAACAUUUCUAGGCGAGAAGACCAAAUCAUAACAAGAAAAGUAAUUCACUAGGAGAAAAGAAUGACAGUUGGAGAUGAUGUAAUCUGUGACAGACACCUUUCCGCGUGUGGCGCUAACAUGCUCAGAAGAAUAAAAGAAAUUCACCGAAAUAUGCCUAUAAAAGAACUCCACUUCCACCACAAAAAGGAGGCAUGAAUGGGCCAAAAGGAGGGCUUGAAUAGGCCAAAGAGGAUGCUUGAAGGAGCCAAAAUAAUAACAUAAGAUUGAUAUUCUAGAGAGAAGGGCCGAAAGAAAUAGUCUUUCCAAUGGUCGUAAAGAGUUUCUUCUUCUUCUCCCGUGAUCCUGUAAGUGAGAGCUUAGAGUCCGAGUGGUGAAGGUUCCAUUUCCCAUUCUUCCUAACUUGUAUUCAUUCACAGUCUUCUGUCUUCCUUUUUUGUAUUUUUUGUGUAAUAUUUAUAUUGUUCAUAUUGUACAAUGGUUGAAGACCUACAUUCUUUAUGUUUAUAUUACAUGUUUAUACAUUUUCAGACCAUCAUUUCUCUACUUUAAUCGGACAAUGUGUUAUGGAUAGUUUAGGUUGGUGAUAAGUUCUUUAUAGGAAGUUUCGUUUAUUAGUCUUGUCGCAUUAGUUGAGUCAUUCUCAUCCUUUGGCUAGCGUAAGUUGCCUACUACACGAGAGGGUAAGUAGCAAGGACAUGGUUAAUGCGCACAAGGAAAAGUUCUCUUCCUUUACGAGAUAACUUCCAUCAUUUAUAUCCCAAAAGGUGAUCAAAUGUGGACACUAGGCAUCGAGAGGUUGAUGUCCUUAAUCGUAAAGUUUUCUACUCUUCUAGAUAUAUAUUUAGGCUACAUGUGUAGAAACCCUUAUCUAUGAGAAGACAAUCCUAUUUACAAGUAAAAGUUUAAGCAUUGAGAAAUAAAUUAAUGCAUAGCAUUCGGACCAAAUAAAAGGAAACUAAAUUAUAAAAUUUAUGACAAAUAGUAAUAAUCUAACCAAUAAACUUUUAAUUCAACGACACGCAAUUCAACCCAUAAACAUCAUCUUGAGUUAGAAUCGAUCCAAACAACGUAAAAAUAUUUUUUAAUAACAAAAUCCCUUAAGCUAUCAAAAUGUAUAUGUCAUCAUACUUAAUAAAUAAAAACCAAACAAAUACAUCCUCAAAUGCAUAUAUUCCAAGAAAGAAAAACACUAUAAUCAUAUACAUUAGAAAUGAUUAGAAACAAAAGUGACAAACUACUCAGAGCCUAGUAGAAAUGAUUAGAAACACAAGUGACAAACUACUCAGAGCCUAGUACAAAUAUCAUUUGUAAUAUCCAAAUUGAUUCACUCUGAUUCCCUAGAUCCUAAUCAACGGUAUAAAAUGUAUAAAGGCAAGAAAAUUGUAAAUCAUGGUUUCAAGAUAAGAUUAGUUCUAUAGUCAGAUGAGUUAAGGAAUGUCCCAUUCAUCAAAUGAGAGGGCUUGGCCUCCACGAUGAAAUUGAGUAGGUUAGUUUAGGUGUUUGGCUCAAAGAGUGCAUGCUCUAUUCAUUGGUAGGGUAGGUUCGACUUCAAUCUUGGCUCAAACAAGUUAGUUUCAACCUUCGACCCCAAGUCCCCUAUCUACAUAUCUAACUGGGCCACAACAUUUUGAUUUUGGCUUGAUUUUCAUCCUUCUCUUGAUGCAAUAGUAUGCAAAUUCACUUAAAGUCGACAAUAUCCUCUACUUCAAAUCUUCUCACAACACAUUGUAUCAACAAGCAUUGUCAUAAUGUAAGUGGACAUACACAAACAAAUGAAAUUAAGAUGAAAAACACUUGAUAGACACAAUUGUGUAGGAUCAAGUUGAAGAUUCAUAACAUGCCACUUUUGAAAUCUCAAGAACCAAAGCAAAAACUAAAUUCAAAUCUUGAGUGUAAUGGUUGGAAAUAGCACAAAAAGUUUUUCACCUUUGACAAAUAACAUAUUUUUUGGCCAAUUAUUUUAAUGGGCUGUCUUUGUGCCAUCUCGGUUAGGAUCAAUAUCGAGACUAAAAAAAAAAUUAGUAUCUUUUGAUGGAAUGUUUGAACCACCAAUUCUAUGCUUUCUCGAUGGAAAUUCCAACUAGGACGACAACUAGGAAAGAACAAAAAACUUCUGCUCAUAUAUUCUGAUCGAUAAGUCACAACAUCUAUAAUCAUUAUGAAAUUUCAAAAACAUCAAAAGCAAAUAGAAUAGAUGGCACCAGGACAACCCAUUAGAAAGAUUACUACUUCGUAAAAGAAACAAAACUUCACUUUACAACAUUUCUCAUAAAUUGUUCAUUCCAAUUGAAUCAUUAAACACCCCAAAGGAAACACGUUUCUUUACCUGUCACCAUAAAAAGGAGCUCUUGGUUAUGGCUCCUCCUGUUUACUGUAGUUUCAUUGUCAAUAACCAAACCCUCCCAAUUAAUUGUGGUAUGCUUGCCGAUCAUAACAAGAACUGUGAUCUUUUGCUAGUACAGAAAACUUCAUUGGUUGAACAAACUCCAAGCUCAAAAUCUUGAUCACUUUCCUUGGAGCGUCCAUUCCAACCACGUACUGAAAAGGAAAGACAGAUGUAUCAUGACAUGUCUUCUCUCAUGUAGAAGCCCGCACAAAGGGCUCUGCACUCUCCUCCUCUACGGAGAUUCUCCUCUGUGCAUCAAGUUUUGUUUCGUUGCCAAUGGUAUUUGAUAUGGCUUUUGAUAGCCAAAACCCAGGUCUCUCGAUGAAUGUUGCUCGAUCAAGAACCAAAGGUUCUCUCAUCGUUACUUCUAUCCCAUUGUCUAUCCACAAUGUCAAGGUUGCUUCACCUUUGAGACCUAAAGAAAACCAGCCUAAACCUGCUAUUGAAAUAUCAAUGCUAUUGACAACCCAACUUGUGCCAGAAAUCUUGACCUCUCUCUCUGCCCAUUUGCCUAUUUCAGAAGCACGGUCGACACCAAUGGGUGGCUAGAAGAAACAAGAAAAUCAAAUAUUGAUCAACUGGCAAUCAUAAAAUGCUUAAUUUUCUUUUUCUGCCACCUAAUAUAGCUACGUUUAGGAGUGCUUUCAGGACCAAAAGCACUUCAUUCAUGUUCAAAAUAAAGUGUUUUCAAGUACUUUUUACUUGCUUCCUUAUGCAUAUUUGUAUAAUUGCUUGACAGAAUAUGAUCAUUACAAUCAUAUGGUACUACUUCUCAUAAAUCGUAAUAAAAGAGUGUGUUUGAGAGUGAUUUUGAAAUGUUAAAGAUCACGUUUACCAUAUUCAAAAUCACUCUAAACCAUGCUUUAAUCAUCCAAAACCAUUUCCCCCUCCCCUGACUAUUAAAUCAGUGCAAUUUUUUGGGAGAUGAAUGUUAGUUGCUUAGAUAUUGAUAUGCAGUGAACUAAAAUGAUUAAAAGGAAAUGGCAGAAGAUGGAUAAGAUAAUACCUUAGCAAGCCCAGAUAUCCCUAGAGAAACUAAUAAUCGAGAGAAAUCCAAUAUAGGAGACAUUCUGGAGGUAACAACAAUUACUUUUUGCAAUAUGAACUGAGUGAAACAAAGCCAAUUACCUGCAACCUUAUACCAGCAUGUUUCUUCCAUAUCUCAUCAGCAUUUUCAAUCUUCCCUAAGUGAAGAGAAACAUUUGGUGAUGCCCAAACUGUAACAUAUAUUGUCUCUACUGAAGCUUGGUUCAGAUCAAGUCUUACCAAACCACCAACAUGUACAGUCUGCCCUACCUGCCCAAUAUUGUUGAUUAUAAUUAGGGUCUAACAGCAUCCUCAUAUCUAGUGAACAGCCACAUUAACCAAGUCUCUGUAUAAUUUGAUGCUUGUCCACCAUUUGCAUAUACCAGUAAAAACUAGUCAAGUAAAUCAUUGAAACUAACAAGACACGGACAAGAAAAUUGAGUAAGGUGACUAAUUUUUAGAGGCUGUGCCCUUUGCCUCAAAACUACCAUUAUUAUUUCAAAAAUUGCAAUAUACCCUUAAACUUUCGUUAAGGUUUCAAAACUAGCAUUAGAGUAGAAAUUUGCAAGAAUGUUAGACAAAGAAUGGGACCAGGAAUGGUGUCUUAGUAACCCAAUAUGGAAAUUGGGACCUAAAUAGCACCACAUCAUUUGUCACUGCCAUCGCCACACCCACAUCAUUUGCAAGAGGUUCUAAUUUCCAUUCAAAAUUCAAACAGAUUUCUUCAAAGGUAGUCUUGAAAUAUUUACAAAAGGUCCAAAGUAAAUUACAACUUCUGAAAGAAUAUGGGCAUUUUUGAAAAAAUGGGCAAACUUCAGGAAAUUUUAUCUUUUUUGGUCAUUUAACCUUUUUUAUUUGCAUACAAAAUGAAGGCCUAUCAACAAUUUUGGAGCGGUAACUACAAUCCAUUUUGGCAAAAAUUGACUAACUAUAUCAGAAUACACUACUAGCACGAUAUUGAUUUACUCAUUUUAUCUACACUAGACCAUAAAUUUUUCUAUGGAAGUUCUGAUAAAAAGUCAAGAGUAUCCCAUGAGCUUAGUGAAGAAGAAGAAAUGAUCAAUAAAAAAUAACAUUCUGUCAAUUGAGGGUCGAUUAAUUGAUCCUCGGAAAUAAGUGCAGUAUAAUAGAGUAGAUUCAUAAACAUUUAGCAUGCUAUCAUUUAGAACUCAAUGUGGACUUAAAGUCUCAAACAUGGAUUAAACCAUUAUAUAGAUCAUAAAUGUUAAUAGUUAAGUACCAAAGGGUUAUAGUCACCUAGACGAUAAAAUAAAUCCAUGUUUUCAUCAAAAACAGGUAUAAAAAUAUUCACUCAUAGAAACACAACUUGCCUUCACUCUGUAAGUUCUCGGUUGGAGCUCCUUUCGAAUUUCGACCAUCUUCUGUUCUUCCCUAUUCAAUCUCAUGGACACUAGAUAAGGAUGUAGAAGCCCAGGAGUAUCAAACAACUUUGCCUUGGCUGACAAAAUCCCCCCAAUUCUCAAGAUCCCGAGCGUAGUCCCAGGAAUUGGAGCUUCGGUAAGCUUUGUCACUUUAGCCCUUUCUUUUUUUGCUAAUGCAUUAAUGAGAGUAGACUUCCCAGCAUUCUGAGCACCAAUAACCCACACAUUUCCUCGUGGACCAGCCAAUUCUUUGAUGAAGGACAAUAGAUUUUUCACACCAACAUCUUUUCGAGAACUAACCAAAUAAACGCCAGCUAAUUUAGGUGCACCCGCAGCCUUAGCACGGUGCCGAACCCAUCUAUCUAGUCUUGUGGGCGAAAUUUGAGAUGGGAGGAGGUCAACCUUUGUGGCCACAAGAACAAGCUUUGGUAAUUUCUUACCCAUCUUGGGGUCGUUCUUAUUUCCUUCCAAAGCCUUAAACAAUGAUUUUGCCGCACGCUUGGGAAAAGAACCAUCGAAAUCAACACAAUCGACAACCAUAACAACAACAUUGUUCAAAUUUGAUGUGGAUUUCAUCAAACGGUUGGCCAUCAAUCUAUCAAAAUCAAAAUCAGGUAUUAAGUUCUCAGCAGCUUGGUUCUUCACCUGCCCAUAAUUCCUCAAUGAGUGGCACCUUGCACAAACUGUUACCUCUUCUAUCUCUUUCUGAGCCUCUCUAGCUCUCCUCUUCUUCUCUGACUUAGAUAUUCUCUUCUUCUCAGCUCUCUUCACUGUUUCCUCUGUAAUGUUUCCAUAUCCCACAUCAGCAGGCGCAAAACCAUCCAAUUCCAAAUUAUUUUCUUCAUCCUCCAUGAGCUUAGCUUCCCAUUCAUCGCUGUCCCAAUCAAAGCCAUCCUCAAUUUCUUCUGCAUCACUAUUUUCUUCUUCAUCCACAACAUCACUAUUUUCUUCUUCGUCCACAACAUCACUGUCUACAAUUCCAUAAAACUCAUCUUCCACAUCCUCCCCAUCCUCCAUUGGCUCUGUAAGUGAAACCUUCCUUUUCUGAUAAAACCCAAGAACGUUUGGAUCCUCAUCUUGCAUAAAAACUCCACAGCCAGGACAUAUGUCUCCAUUUUGCUCAUCCUCAUCUCUUCCCUCACUCAAAACAGAAUCCUUUGUCCUGCCUUUUCCCUGAAUCUUAGAACUUGUUGUGCGAACAAUUUGUUGGGAUUUCACGGCUAAGCUAAUGGGUUGAAAUUGAAUCCUGUGGGCAGUUACUUGUCUAUUGGGGCCUAGUAAAAGAGGGGGUUUUGUUUACUCUAUGAAUCAAAGUGUAAAGGAAAAUGCGGGGAAAAGGGAAUUUACCUGGAAGGAAAGGAGGUCGUGUUCGUAUGUUGAGUCCAUGAUAGAAAUUAUUGACGGGGAGUUUCAGAUUGAGCUCCAUUGCAGAUAACAGAAUUGCCAUUCCUUAGAAUACAAUAGUUCUACUUCUACAAUGAAGAUGGGAAAUUGCCAAAGAUAAGCAAGGCUAACAAAUUUGAAUCAAAUUGAAUUUUGGGAAUUUUCCAAAACUUUAAUCCAAAUUCAAGUAUCUAGAAAGCACCCUAAAGAUUUCCUAAUUUUUCUUAAAGAGAUAUAUUCAGCUCUAAUGCUUCUAAACCCUGAGUCAAUUCAAAUAAUCAAACAAUCCAAACAAUCAAACCCAAAUUAUAAGGAAAUGUUGGAUUCUGUUAGAUUAUAUUUUAAGAAUUAAAAUUCGAGUUGAGUUCAACCCGAAUUUCUAAUGUUAUUAAAUCAUAGGUUAAGUUACAAAAAAAAAUGCAUCUAAAUUUUAAAAAGUUUCAAAAAUGUCCUUAAAUUUUAAAAAGUACUCUUUCGGUUUGUUUUGAACGAAACCAUUAAAGUUUUGUUUAAAAAAAAACUCCUAAACUAUUAAAAAGUUUCAUAAAUACCCUUGAAGUUAAACAAUUUCAAAUAUACUUUCAUUGAUCCAAACUUUACACAAACUUUCUCACCAACAAAAUUUUUAAAUUAAAACCAUAGUUUUAAAUUUAUCUUACUUUUAACAUAGAGAGAUAGAUUAUGAACACAACAAAUCUUAAUAGUUAUUGUUGUAAUAAUCAUCAAAGAAAAAAAUGUAUUUGACUAUUAACACACAAUGAUAGUCCGAGAGAUCUAUUAUUGGAAGAUUUUUUUUAUUUGACUAAUUAUUGUAUGUUGAUAAUUUUAUUGGUUUUGUAUUUCCAAUAAACUCAUAUCCUUACUUGUCUUAUGAGUCUUGAUAUGUAUGUCGAGACAUAUAAAGACUGACGUUCAAGAUACAACUUAAAGAAUCUAUAGUAUAAAUAUAAGGUUGGGUACCUUAUCUUGCUACAUCAUGUAUGCGACCCACUUUAUUUUUUUUAUACAAAUGUAAUGAUUCAACGUGUUCAUGUAGGUGACAUGUGAGUGAUGGUAUCCUAUGUAAUAAGUUUAACUUCUAGAUGUAACUUCAUUUACUAGUUAGGUUUAUAUUUCAAUAGGAUGACCUAAACAAUUUAGUCUUAAUCUUGAGUAUAAUAUGAUCUCCUAUUUGCAAAAGAUUGUCCUUUGAUUUGUAAGAAUGAGAGUAGUCAGAUUGCUCCCACAAGCAUACCAUUUUGAGAAUAAAACCAAGGGGGAAGCUAGAAACAUAAUUACAAAGAUGAAACUCACUAUUUUCCAACUUUAGAAUACGUAGAUAAGUGUUAGCUUAAAUGGUGUCUCCAUAAUUUAAACAAAUGACCCUACCCACUUUAUGGCACAAGAGAAGUUUUUAUUUAUUGGUUGAACCAUAAGCAGGUUGUUCAUGAGAGGAGGACUAGUAUGUAAGUACUAAGAAGUAACCUAGGGGUAAAAUGAUAAUUUGACAAAAGUGGUGUUACGGCACUUGUGAAUGACUAACUUGUUGUUAUUUGUUUAUAUAUGUGGACACACAAGAUAUCGACAGCGAGAAGAGUGCAACUGUGAGUUUCUAGUAGAGUGUACACAUAGUUAACAAAUGUUUAUUAAAGUGGUAAUGAGUAUAGUCAACUAAUAUCAUGUUGUUGGAGCUUCUAAUCUGCAGAUCCUACUACUGACAAAAGGAAGUGUUUCCACUACAAUAUGGAUGGACAUUGGAAGAGGAAUUGCCUCAAGUAUCUUGCGGAGAAGAAGAAAGAACAAUAGGUAAAUAUGAUUUACUUGUUUUUAGAAACAUGUUAAGUGGAAAAUGACCAUAAUGUCUGGUUGAUUCAGUAGCCACUAAUCACAUUUACUUUUUUUUUACAAGGAAUUAAUUCAUUCCAGAAGCACAAGGAGGGUGGAACGGGGCUCAAGGUUGGAAGGGAGACAUCACUUAUACUCUUGCAGUAGGAGUGAUCAAGUUGUUUUUUAGAAAUAGAUUCUUGUUUUUAGAAAACUUAUACAGAUCAAAAGGAACUUGAUUUUUAUUUCUUGCCUUCUAUAACAAAUGAACUUAAUUAACUUCUCUAUCAAUAACGAAGGGAUAAAAGCCUAUGGCAAAACUAUUCCUCAAAUUAAUUUGGGAAUCCCAAAAUACUAAUACAUUAGCAAAAAUACUUAAGAAACUAGUUUUCUUAUUAAAACUUAAAGGCUAAGCAUGUUUUCUAAUUAUAGAUUAGAGAAAGAAAAUUUUACUUGUUUAUGUCUCUGAAUCUAUAAAGUAAAUUUUCAAAUUGGGACACGUGCGUUAGAGACAUUUCUAUUUUAUAGGAUGAGAUUGAUUUGUGGGAAGCAAUUGAGAUGAGACAAAUGUUUAGAGGGAAGUUAUUUUCUUCUUGUAGAGAACAAAAACAUUGGUUUUUUUUUUAUUAAUUCAUUUAAAGAAAACUGUUUUCUUCUAGAUAUUUAUAAUUCUCUUUCCUUCUCGGAGUAAGAGAGAAUCAUGAGAUUUUAUUAAUUUUUUAAAAAAUAUUAAAUUAAUAGAAAUAUCAAAUCUACUAAUUAAUUAAUCAUUAAUCAAUUAGCUAAUAAUUAAUUAAAUGGAUAUUUAAAAAAAUAGAAAAGUAAAUUAAAAUAUUUACAAGUUAUAGCAAAAUUUUCGAUUCUAUCAAUGAUAGUCACUGAUAGAUUUCUAUCACCGUAGCAUUUCAGUGAUUAUCAGUGAUAGAAUUUAAAAUUUUUGCUAUAGGUUGUAAAUAUUUGGUAGAAUUUGUUAUUUUUGAAAAUUCUCCUUAAUUUAAAUCAUAUUUAAUUAAUAUUUCAUUCAAAUCUUAUUUAAUAAAUAUCUCUUGAUUAUUUUAUAGUUUUAUAUUAAUUUAAUUAAAUCAAAUAAAACUAAACUAUUAAUUAAUUUUUUAAUUAAUUAAUAGCUAAAUUAAAUAUUAUAUAUUUAACUUAAAUUAAAUUUAAAUUAUAUUCAAUAUAAGUUUUUCUCAUGACCAAUAAUUUUAAUAUGAAUCUACUUCACAUUAAAUUAAUAUUUGAACUCAUUCAAAUAUUUUAUCUUUGUUGAAUCAUAUCCAAAAUUAAAUUUAUAUAAUAAAUUUUAUAUUAUAAUGUAUCAUUAUACUAGUUCUCAAAGUAAAUUUGAACACUUCAAAUUACAACCAAUAUAAAUAAAUCAUAUUACCAUUUACGAGCUAGGAAGAAAACCUAAUGAACCUACAGAUCAGAAGCUACAACGAUCUGUGACUAAACUCAUUAACCACAUUAAUCAAUAUUCGUUAACUAUGUGUACACUCCACUAAAGACUUACAACUGAACUCUUCUCACUGUAAAUAUAUUUUUGUGUCCACGAAUAUAGACCAAUAAUAAUAAGUUAAUCUUUCACGAGUGUUCGUAACACCAGCUGAACCAAUUUACCGUUUUACCCAGGUUACGUAUAUACUCAUUGAUUCAUUAAUGGGUUUUGGCCCUUAAGGCACCCAAGUUUUGGGAGGGGGAGAUAGACAAAUGUAGAUAUGCCCAUAUUUUCACACACCUGGCGAGGAGAGGAAUAAAAUAAUAAUAUAUAUUUUUUCGCUAAAACAUUUUCUUUAUUAAUUGGUAUAAUCGUUUUUAUUUUCUAAAUUAAUUGAUAUAAUCGUUUUGGUUUUCUAAAUUAAUUACACAUUAAACUUGAAACAGUUGUUUGUGAUAGUUGGUUGCCUCUGCCUCGCCAUUUCUAUAUAUACCAUCCUAUUUUUCACCUUUAAGAUACAAAGAAAAAUCUUCUAAUUCCAUACUCUCCCUAAAAAUCACUUUAGUGUCCUCUUGAGUGUUUGUGAAUUCCAAUUGAUUUUGGUGCAAAAUCAAGACCGAAACUAUUUUAUCUUGGAGACGACUAGACUAUCAAACUAUUUGCACAAAAAGAGCAGAGUAGUGAAACGUCUUAAAGAGAACGUGAUGCGCAACUCAACCGUCUACUAAUCUAUUUUCUGUUUGACCAAACGAUUUAACCAGUGUACUGAUCAGAACACAAGAUUAUUUGGUGAACUAACCAGAAAAGAUAACAUACCUUACGUGAGAUAUAAGAUGAAGUACAACAACGCAUGACGUAGGCAGCCACAACAAUUUAUUUAUCAAACCAUAUGGCGCAACCACACCUCAGGAUUUCACUUCUUAUGCUAUUUCUCGGGGUGAACUUUAUCAUUAUUUAGUUCUCAUCCUAAUUCUUUUUCAUUUGUUUCCAUUUAGUUUCUUGAGUUCUUAAACUUUCUACUUCAUCUAGUCACUAAACCUUUUUUUCUCUUCUCAGGAUGAGGAACUUUAAUAAAAAUAUGAUAUAUAAAAUAUAAAACGAUUUAAACCGAACCAAUUCGGCUUGAACUGGAUCAGGUUGGUUCGGUUUUAAAAUUGGAACCGAGGACCGUUCACAUAUAGUGUCAACCGAGCGGUUUGGUCCAUGAACCGUGCACACCCCUUGAAAUUGUAUUUUCUUUUUCUAUGUUAUAUUCUUCUUCUUCUUCUAUAAAUUGAAAAAAAGUGAUUCAACCUAGCCUCCACCUCUAGCAGCAUUUUCAUCUGUGACCCCCUUGAAAGUCGUGCAAGUCCUCGUCCACUCCGCCUUUAGUGAAACUCCAUCUCUUUUUAUGCUUCAAGUUUCUUUCAUUUUCAUUUCCAUGGCUUCAUUUUGAAUGAAGAUCAACCAUCUUUGUUCAUCGAUUAACCAAUCUUCACUUCCUCCGACCCUCAUUUUUAGUAGCAUUUUGAUGAACCAUGUCGUUUGUGAUUCAGUUCAAGCACUGGAUCUAUGACCUUCUCUCUAACUAUUUCACCUAAAACCUUGAUGGGUGUGCCUUAAAUUCUUUUUUGGUCCAUUGAAUGCCCUAGUUUCUUAGUACUACACUCUGGUUAUUUGGAUAGUUGUUUUUCUUUUGCAGUUGUUCGCCCAAAAUGGGAAAUUUUCAUUUGUCAUUGUGUUGAACGUUCAUGUUUUGUUUUUAUUGAUUGAGAUUUGCUUGUAUUUAUACGUUUUAUGCUGUUGAUUAGGCUCUGGUGAAUCGGUUUAGGGUUUUGCGAAUGAUAUUUGUUCUGGGUUUUGAGUGCUAUCUCACUAUUAUGAGAGGAAUGCAUGGUGCUUAGGAAGCUGUAUCUGAUAGUUCUAAACUUGUUUGUGUUUCUAGUCAUUUAUUAAUGUAUAUGAGUAAAGUCUUUUGCUUUCUGGGAGUAUAUGCAUCUGAAGUAGUGUUUGUUUGACUUUCUUUAUAAGAUAUGAAGACAUACAUUUUGAUAGCUUAUCCUUCAUGUUUUUUUUUUUUAAAAAAAAUUGUUUUCCUUUUGUUGUUUGAAUUUGUUUCUAGUUUCAAGAUGGUGUUUUAUUGUUAGAUUAUUGCUAUUUGCCCUAAAUUCUGUGGAUUAGUUUGUUUCUCAAGUUUUAAAUUUUCUUACAUGUAAAUAGGAUUAUCUUCUUAUGAUUAAUAUACUUUUUAAGUGAUUCUCAUUUGUAACAACUGUGACCUGGAAGUAUUGCUUGCUUUAGUAUCUCGAUUGUUGGUUAACCUAGCUUGAUAGAAAAUUGAGCCUGCUCACUGCCCGAAGAUGGAAAAACUCAUUCUCAACAUGUUAAGUUGACUCUUAUCAAAAGCUUUUGCUCUCAACUACUACUACUCUCUCUCUCUCUCAACGUAAAACAAUUUGUCUGUCUCAUUCUCGUUUGGUUUUUCUUUUGGUAAAUUACAAGUGCUAGAUGAUGAAAAAUCUUGGAACAUUGUGUCUUGAAGUUCAAGGAAUUUGAGGAAUGGUUAGCUUUUUUAGACUUUUAUUUUGAUACAAACUUUUAAAUUUUAACAGAUUCUAAUGUGCAUACAUUAUAUAAUACUCUCUUUUGGCAUUUAACAACAUCUCACAGGCAUAGAGAAAUGGUACUGGAUACUGGAAUUUAGAGCUCUCUAUAAAAUCCUUCAUAUGCUUUUGUGCCCUGAUUCUUCUUCUUGCUCUUUUGGCUAUAAAUUCUUAGGCUUUUCUUGUCUUGAUUGAUAUUAGGAACUUCAGUUUUGCCCAAUGAUGGAAAAUCAAUAUAAAUUGAAAGGUUGCAGAUGGCUUUGUUCAUCAUUAGCCUUUUCUUAUCUCCACCUCUACCAUCACCUCCUCUUUCAACUAUUCAUACAUCUAAUCGCACACACAUCACUAUCUGUAAAGGCUUUUGAUGAAUGAACACCGUUUGCUUUGUACCGCAUAUGAUUCUAUAAAAGCUAUGAGAUCUGAGGGCUUUGCUUCCGUACUGUUUUAUUCUAGGUUUUGCUGUUCUUUGGUUUGUUUAGUACUUGUUUUCUUGGAUUUGGGGCAGUUUCUCAAUGCAGUUCUUAUGAAAAUGCAGCAUAGGAAGCAGAUAAUUCCACCUGGGUCAAGUCAACUUUGUUCUAUAUUCAAACCAAACCCAACUAGUACAGUUCUUGGUUUGCUCAAACCGAGCCACUCAAAAAUAGAUUUAGGGUCCUUCAAAUUUCCAUCGCAUUUUUAACUGAAGGUGGCUAUUUGUUUGAACGCUCUAGCUCAGUUGGUUCAUCGUUGUCUUUCUUCUCACACUACGUCUUUCUCCCUCAGCUUUGUUUCUUCUUUUUCUAGGCCGUGUAUCAGAAGAUCCUCUUCCUUCUCUGACUUUUAUUUGCUGUUUGCCGGCUGUAUAAGUUUGGUUGAGUUUAGUGAAUUGGUUUGGAGUAUUAUGAAUGAUAUUUGGAUUGGGCUUUGAGCAGUUUCUCACUUUAUUAUAAGGGGGAUGCUGCUUAGGAUGAUAAAUCUGUUGCGUCUAAACUUGUUUGUGUUUCUAGUCAUUUGUUAAUGUAUAUGAUUAUGACCGUGUUCUUUCUGGGAAUAUAUGCAUCUGAAGAUGUAUUUGUUUGGUUUUUCAUUUUAAAGUAUGAAGACAUACAUUUCGAUGUCUUGUCCUUGAUUUUGUUAUUUUAAAAAAUUAAUUUUCUUUUGUUUGAUUCUAUUUCUAAUUUCUAGAUGGUGAUUCUUGGAUGAAUUUCAUGCUGUUGAGUUAGAGGUUUAUUUGUUAGAUUAUUGCUAUUUGCCUUAAAUAUUAUAGUUUAGUUUGUUUCUCCUGUUAUUUGCCCUAAGUUUUAUGGAUUUUCUUAACGUACAUGUAAAUGGAAUUUGUAUUGCUUGCUUUAGUAUCUUAAUUGUUGGUUGUCCCUGCUUAUCAGAAAAUUGAACCUGGCCAUUGCCCACUGCCCAACGAUGAAAACACUCAUUUUAGAGAUGUUACUUUGAUUCUUAUCAGUCCUUUGUCCUCAACAACCAUUCUCUCUCUCUCUCUCUCUUACCAUCAAAGAAUAUUUUGUUUCUCUUUUGUUUUUUCUUUUGGUAAAUUAUUGUAAUGGUUGCUGCUAUGUAGAGGCAGUGAUCAAAAUCAAUAUUAGCUGAGGGCAUCUUGUACAUACAUUUUGCUCUUAAAGUUGCAUUGACUUUCUUUACUGACCCCUUUUUUUCUUUUUAAAUGAGUUGUCUUUUAGGAUGGCUGUGAGAUGAUGAAAAAAAUCUUGGAACAUUAUGUUUUCAAGUUCAAGAAACUUGUGAAAUAGUUUAAUUUGUCAGACUAUCUCAUUUUGAUACAAACUUUCAAAUUUAAUCUAAUUAGAUAAAUAUUCAAAUUUUUGAACACUUACAAAAUUAGAGUCUUGAAGAAAUGACCUAUUCAUCUAAUUGUUUGUUUACACAUUACCAUGGUUGCAUCACUAUUUUAAACUUGGAAGCCUCGAUUGAGACUUAAGUGUGACUGGUAACUAUGAAUUAGCCCUUUAGUUGGAUGCUACGGUGCUUAGAUUUCAACACAUGUGGAAAUCCAUUCCAAAUCCUGGACUUCAGAUAUCUCUAUAAAAUCCUCGGUAUGCUUCUGUUUUCUGAUUCUUUCUAUUCUACUGUGAAUUCUUGGGCUUUUCCUGUCUUGGUUGAUAUCAGUAACUUUGAUUUUGCCCAAUGAUGGAAAAUCACUAUGAAGUGAACGGUUGCAGAUGGCUUUGUUUGUCAUUAGCCUUUUCUUAUCUCCACCUCCAUCCUUACUCCACUUUCGUUCAAUCCAUACAUCUAAUCUCACACACAUCACUGUUUGUAAAGGCUUUUGGUGAACAAAUGCCAUUUGCUUUAUACCGUGUAUGAUUCUAUGAAAGCUAUGAGAUCUGAGGGCUUUGCUUCUAUACUGGUUUGUUCUAGGUUUUAUUCUUCUUUCGUUUGUGUAUUGCAUGUUUUCUUGGAUUUGGGGCAGUUUCUUACUGUAAUUCGUAUGACUUUGACCGGAGGCACUUUAAUUAUUGGUAUUAUUAUUAUAUAAUUGUUUAGUAAUGCUUAGUUCUUAAACAUUCAUGGUUGAAUCACUUGUUUAGUUGAUACUUUUUAUUUGUAUUUCAAGAAUAUUACUGAUUGCUUGAAAAUACUUGCUUUGCCUUGAAAAUUGCAUCUGCCCGAUGAUGGGAUACUCUGAUUGGAGCGGUUACUGAUGAUCUUUAUUACAAGCCUUUGCCAUUAACCAACUCACACAUGAUCUCUCUGUCUCUGUCUCUCUCUGUCUCUCUCUCUGUCUCUCUCUCUCUAUUCAUAUAGCUAUCUGAUGAUCCAUCCAUUUGCUUUCUUUUUUCUUUUCUUUUUUUUUACGAGUGGUUAAUGAUGUGUAGAGGCUAGUAAUGAAAAUCAACUGUCUACUUGGCAAUGAUAAAUAAUGUUAAAGAGAUCUGAGGGCAUCUUGAAAAUGGUUAAUUUUUCAUGAAACUGCAACUGUUGUCCUUGUUAGAUUUUACAAUAGUGUAUUUGUGAAUUUUGUUUAUCAAAUAAAGACUGUUUUGAAAAGUAUUCUAAAGGACUUUGUAAUGUUGUAUUUUAAAAUGGUUCUUUUUAUUGUAUAUGUAAGCUAGUUUUGACACUUACAGAUGUCAAAAAGAAUAAAGUGGUACUUUUUAUUUGAAUGUAUAGAUGUUAAAUUUUAGAAUGAUGACCAUGAUUUAUAUUGAAAAUGAUAAAAGAGAGUUUCAUUAUAUUAUUUUAAAGUUUACGUGCUAACGUGCUAAAAAUAAUACUUGAAUGUUCACGAUAACAUUAUUUACAUUAUUUGUAGUUAAUGUUUUGAUUGUACAUGGACAAAGUUUAUCCACAAGUUUCCUCCAAAAAAAAAUUAGCCUUGCCCGAUGAUGGAAAAACUCAUGCUGUGGAGCAACUGCAUUGUUUUCUAAUACUAGCUUUUGCCCUCAACCACAACCAUCUCUCUCUCUCUCUCUUUCUCUCUGCAAACAAACAUACAUACAUAUAUAUAUAUAUACACACAUAUUUAACCCCUUUCCAUUUCCAAUCUUUUCUUUUAUUGUGGUUAAAGAUGAGUAGAGGCUAGUAUGUGAAUCCAAUGUAGACAUUGUGACAAUGAGGAACCAAGCUAUAAGAGAUCUGAGGGCAUUGUGCAAAAUUGUCAUCAUUUUUCCACCACAAGGAUGCACGUGAAUUUUGAUUCUAUUUUCACCUUGAAGUAAUCAAUUUUAGUUUUGGAUUAGUGUUUGCUUUAAAUGUUAUACUAACUGUACAGGCAGUUACUUGCUUAGUGCUUCUUGGUGAUGGUAAAGUAUAUUGAUUGCAAGUAUCACUUGAUUCGAGAGAUAGUGCAUCGAGGGAACAUGAUCAUCACACAAAUAGCUUCGGCAUACAACGUUGUUGAUCCGUUUACAAAGUCCUUCACAGCUAAGGUGUUUGAGGGUCAUCUAAAGAGUUUGGGUCUACCUGACAUGCCACAUUUAAUCUAGGGCAAGUGGGAGAUUUAAUGUGUGCGUAUUGUAUGCCCUAUUCUUGUUUUGUGUACUAUUAUAGUGUUUUAACUAUUAUGUUGUACACCUCACUAACUUUAGGAUAAGUGGGAUAUUGUUUGGGUUGAUGCCCUAAAUCCUGUGGUCUUAUAGUUCGUAAUCAUGUAUAUUAUACAAAUAUUUUAGUUAUCUAAUAAAAUAAAUUGUUUUAUUUUAUUUGACAUUUAGUUAAUUAACCUACAAAACAAAUAAACUAACAUCUAAGGUUAUUUUUUGUAGCCUAAGCAUGUAUAUGGAGACAUACAAGUUGAUCAUGUUUGAAUGAUAACCUUGUUACAAUUGUUCUAAAAUGCUACAAAUGAUUUGAUCAUAAUCAUUCACGUCGAAACAUUAGAGCAAGGGUAUUCUAUACAAAGGGUUUGUAUAAGACCAAACCAUAAAAUGAAGUCUCUCUUAUUAACACUGUUACUAGUUGAUACUACAUUUCACCAAGAUGACUAUAAAUGAUUUGACAUGAAUUCUGAGUGAGUUGUAAACAUCUACCUAUGAAGGGAGUCCUUUGAUUUGCGCAUGGGUGAGAGUGGCCUAUGUUGCAGACUCAAUAGGUCUACAAUUUUGGGGAUUUGUUUGACUAGGGAGCUAGAAACGCAACUACUCGUUAAAUACCUAAAACAUGAAACUGUCUAAUCAUUAGUCCUAUAUAUCAUUGAUCCCUAUCAAACCCUAAACUUAAUUACUCCAUGAAUAAGUUAUGAAAAAUCAUCCAUCUAUUUUAUUUGAAAACUAUGUUUAAACUACGUACGAAAUGCUACCAUAACUGCAAGAUUGUCAGAACAAACAAACAAACCAAAUACUAUGUCUACUUGCAAAACCAAAACAUAAUUCAUACAUUUGAAUUUCAUAAAACACUCAAUUUUAUUCAUACAUUUGUUUUAUUUACAUUAAUCAAACACUCAAUCUAGAACAAACUAACCUUAUACAUUAACAAACUUACAAUAAAUAUUUAUAUAUUAACAAACUAAUCUUAUAAAUUAACAAACUUACAAUAGAUAUUUGUACAUUUAUUUAUUUAUACAUUAUUUAUUAAUUCAUGUAUACAUUAACAAACUUACAAUUAAAUUAAUAAGGAAUACACUCCUCUAUAGAUAAAGUAAGUAGAGAAAUUGCUCUCUUAAAGGUUGCUUCCAAGGCUCGAACAAUAUGGCGCCACACCCUUUCUUAGGGCGAGAAGAGUUCAGUUAUAGCGAGUCUAUAUUUAUUGUUCGUUAGAAGAAUCGGUGGUACUUAAGGAGUUAGAUGUACAUAUAGGGGCAAAAAGGUAAUUUUUGGCCUAAUUGUACUUACGAGCAAUUGGUGAAGGGUCAUUGUAGUUUUGAUUGGUUAUAUCUAAUGGACAAGAGUACACCUAGUGGUCUUAUGACUGUUAGUUAAUGAAUAUGGAUUAAUUUAAUUAAAGAGUUUAAUUAAUUAAUCUCACAUCAUUUGAGCUUCAAUUUAUAGGUCCAUAAGAUUCUCUUGUUGGCUCAAUAAAAAUAAAUGAAAAUCAAAUUUAUUUUGGUUUAAAUUGAAUUGUGCAAAUUGAUUAAAGAGAAUAAAUUGUAUAUGAUACAAUUAAUAUAAUAUAUUUGAUCCAUUAUAAUAUAAAGUUUUUAUGAGAGAAGUUAAUAUUUGAAUAUGAUUCAAAUAAUAGUAAUAAUAUGAAUAAGAUUCAUAAAUAAACUAUAGACUAAAACUAAUAUGAAUUCGAUUCAUAUUAAAACUAUAUAUCAUAUGAGAAAAUUUAAACCAUUGUUUAUAUUAUUAUGACAUAAUAUAAAGUUAAUAUUAUAUGAGAUAUAAUAUAGUUUAAAUUUAUAUUGUUCGGUAACUUUCCCUCCAUCUCUCUUAAGAUAUAUGGUUGAGAUACAAAUUUUAACAAGCUUGGUGGAGUGCUAUCUCUUUGUUCCAAAUAGAAAUCUCUCUAAAAGAAUUUUCCUUUAACAAAACCAAAAAUCACAUAAGCCCAUAAGGUGUGAUUUUAUCUUUGACGAUAACAAGAAAGACUUCUUAGUAUUUUUUAGGAGGUUCAAGAAUUAAUGUGAGUUUUAUUUUCUUUUUUUUUUUCUCUGGACAAGCAUGUUCAAAUAUUUUCUCUGAAUUUUAUAUGUGUUUUAAGUUGAAUUUCUUUUACAGACGUUCACACGCUUUUGCUAUAGGAAUGGAGCCAGUAACUACGAGGCAUGUGUUUCAAAUUCGUUUAUCAUGUUUGAUUGGCUAUUUGUAUUAAAAACACACCCCAAGAUUAAGAAGUUUUUGUUUUUAUACUUAAUAAAAAAAAUUGAUUUAAGAUUAAAAUACUAUUUUGGUUCUACUCUCAAAUUUAAUUUGUUGGAUGGGUUGAGAUUAACUUUUAUUGAAAUUUAUGAAAGAAUCUUAGUAAUUUUUAUGUAAAGAAAUGCUAAUAAAAAUUAUUAGAGUUAAAAGUUCAUUUUUCAAACUUUAAUUGAAAUGAAUGGCGAAGAUUAAGUCUCAGGCUAAAACGCAGCGUUUUAACCCGUCUUCGACCUACGUACUACGUAGCCUCCAUUCUCUUGAGCUCUCUCAUUCCGCCGCCGCCAACUCCUCUGCUUUCUUCCUUCUUCCUUCUUCUCCUCUUUCAGGUCAGUUCUCUCCAAACCCUAAUUCUCAACCUCGAUACCCCACCACCUACUUUCAAUUUCUGAAUUCGUACUAGAAAACCAUUACCUUCCCUCUUCGAAUUUCCUGAAAUAUUCCUUUUCCCUAAGUUCUUGAUUGUUUGUUUGUUUGUCUGUCUGUUUGUUUUAGUUCAAUGGGGGCUAAGGCGAGGAAAGCUAUGAAGAAGAAACUCAAUAAGGCUACUCCUCUUUCAUCCGACAAGAAGGAAUCUGCCGAUUUCUUGGUAUGCUUCAAUCUCUUCGACUCUGAUUUUUUUUUUUUUAUUUGUUUUAUGGUUAUUCUAUCCCUUUAACUCUCUUGGGAUUUAUGUAUUUAUUCCUCUCUUGCCUCUGAUUUUUUUUCUUCAGCCGUUGGAGGGUGGUCCUGGGCGUAAGUUAUCGGUACAGAAGCCAUUGGAAAGUACUGCUACUGUUCUUUACAUUGGCCGCAUACCCCAUGGUUUCUUCGAGAAGGAGAUGGAAGGUUUGAUCGAAUACCCUAAACCCACAUCUUACAUUCAAUGAAAUUUGAAGUUCAAGUUUCUUGUUAUCUUCUCUGCUAUUUCUUAACCCUUAUUGUUUUCUACAGGGUUUUUCGGACAGUUUGGGAAAGUAAAAAGAUUAAGAAUUGCACGAAAUAAAAAGGUAAGGCUGGCUGAAUCUGCGAAGCUUUUUUCUUCCAAAAAGAAUUUAUGUUCGCAGGAGAAUGUUGCAUUGCAAUAAAUUACUAGAUUUUUCUGAUAACCAAAACUGUCACCAGUAGUGGUACUUUCUUUCUAAUUAUUUGUGUGCAUGGUUUGAUUUAUGAUUUUGUUGUUACGUGUAGACGGGGAAGUCGAAGCAUUUUGGCUACGUUGAAUUUGAAUCUCCAGAGGUGUUAUAUUUUAGGACUUUUGUAUUUGUAAAUUUCUGAAUGUUAGUUAUUCAUCUUAAUCACUUUAAGUUUGCCCCAAAAUUGAAUUUCGUGAGCACAGGUAGCAAAAAUUGUAGCUGAUUCCAUGCAUAACUAUUUGUUGUAUGAACACAUUCUGAAAGUCCAUCUAAUUGAUCCCGAGCAUGUUCACCCCAAACUGUAAGUAAUCAUUUGCACUCCCGUGCUACAUUUUUGCUUUAACUACCCAUGUUGGGAGAUGGUUGUUGAAUAUUUCAAAGAAUGUUGCUUCUUUUGUCUCAUUUAAAUGUUGGCAUUUUUGCAGAUGGAAAGGUUUUAACUAUCGCCAUAGGCCCUUAAACUGGUCUGAACUUGAGCGUAAGCAUCAUAACAAGGUAUUAAGCUUGAUCUUUAUCUUGUAGACCAUACAAACCUAUAUGUCUACUUACUUUGUUCCAUGAUAAUUUUCAGGAAAGGACAUUGGAGGAACACAAGAAGUUGGUGGAUAGAAUAUUGAAGCGGGAUCAGGCUAGACAGAAGAGGAUAAGGGCUGCUGGGAUUGAUUAUGAGUGUCCAGAAAUUGUAAGAAGAUUUUUAUUUUAUAGUUUUAAGCAAUUCUUUUUCCCGGAAGAUUGUUAAAUUUUAACUGUUUAUUUAAAACAUGAGAGCUGUUUAUUUACCAGUCAUUGAUAUCUGCUAGUUAGUAUUUUUCGUUUAUUGAAACUAUGGUGUAAAAAUGAAGGACAGCACGGACCUAGGAAUAAUCAAAACAAACCCACAAAAAGAGUUCAAUUAUAAGGGUUCCAACUAAUACAAAAUAGAUCUCAUAGAAUUGUUAUGAAAGGUCUUUGAAACUGAAUCCUUGAGGAAAACAUGAAAUCCAACAAGAGAUCAUACUUCUCUAGGUCUCUUUACUACAACACUCUAAACACUUGAUUAUUCUGCUCACCCCAUAGAUCACAUAAUCACACACACAGUCAGCCAAAGAAAAAGACCCUUGUCACGAAAGGGUGAAUGGAGGAGAAACUUCAUGAUCAUAUCACUAAUAUUCCUGUGAUGAGCAAGUACGAAACCAAACAUUUGUACGAAGUCACUCCAAACAGCUCUUGCAAACUAACAACUCUGAGAAUAUGUGAUCAAUGACUUCCUUUUGCCUCCUAAUUUCUACUUAUUAUUGGAGUUCUAAUAUUAAUAUAGAUGGUGAGUUCAUUCCUUAGUUUGAUUGGUUGAUUUCUGUUUUUGGGAUCAAACUCAAUUUCGAUGCCGAAUACAACUCUGGUUUUUGAUAUGAUCGUCUAAAAACCAGAUAUUUUGUUGAGAAAACAAAAGGCCCACAAAAAGGAUCCAAACAAAACUGAACUCAACAAAAAGCGUUAAAUGCCUCCAACCCAAAAGUAUAAGGUUAGGAGGAUGAUGUGAAAGACCUCAAGUAUAGACAUCGAAAAAGAGGAGCAUUAAAUCCAUACAGGGAGUAUUCCUGAAAGCUCUCAAUGGUAUCCUAACUACACAUUUUCAUUAUCUCUAUAUGGCUGGGAACUGUGAGCCACCCCACUUGAUGAUGAAUUCUAUGUGAAAUAUCUUUCCUCUCUUUUUCUUUUUCCUUUUCUUUUUUCUUGUGUUAAAUAAAAAACUAUUUCUUCGAUUGAAUGAAAUAUCUAAAGAUGUACCAAAUGAUGGCCCAUUUGAGUAUGUGAAAUAUUAUAAUGGAAAGUCUUCUAUAGGCAAUUUCAGGAGGAUGAAAUUCAGCUAAUUCUUUUUUCUUAUUGAGUAUGCUCUUGAGUUGAAAUGCACUGCAAACCUAUAUUACAUCAAGUGCUUGUAAAUACCUUUUAAAGAACUCUAACAUCAUAUGAUGCUGCCCCCUUUUGAGAUCUGCUUGGUGGAAGUCAACUUCUAUCUUUUUGAAAUUUGAUCCCAUUAUAUGAAUUGCACUGCAGUUUUCUAAUGUCUCUUGAUAACUUGCAGGUGGGUGGUGUCCAACCAACUCCCAAGAAGAUCAAAUUCGAUGAAGAUUAGAAUGAGGGUUCGGUUCAUAGAAAGCUAUUAUAUUAUCACACCAGAGGAAGGAGGAAGCUCUUGCCUCGUUCCAGUUUCUUAUGCUGGAGGGGGGGUAACCUUCCCAAUGAUCUUGAAUCUCCUAAUUUUGAUCUGUGAAAUUUUGUGUCAAAACAUACUUUUAUUAAGCUCUUUAGUAAUAUGUAUUCCCCUUUAUAAAAAUGAAAAAAAAAGAAGUUAUAUUGAAGCUUUUAUGGCUUACAAUUCUGAUCUUCUCAAAGACAGGAAAACUGAAUGGUAAAUUUGAAAGUUCCACCAUGUCAGAUCUACAUGUAUAGUUUAUAUCAUGUUUGUUUCAGUUUCAUCUAUCUCAUUCUUAAUUAGCUUCAUAUUUAGAUGGAACAUAGUUUACAUUGGGUCCCCAACACUUAUUAUUUGAAUUGUUCCUCUGGCUGACAUGAAUGCGCCAUGUUUGGUCUUAUAGUGAACAGUGAAAUUGGUUAGGAGUUUUAAAAGUCUAUUAAAAAGAAGGUUGCUGAACAGUGAGUUUGGCUUGUGCGCUGAAAUAUUAGUUCAUAUUAGUCCUUUACAAUCAUUAAUCAUUGAGCACAAUAUUUUAUAGUUUAUGUGCUUUUGGAUUCGAGCUAUAGACUUCGUGUUUACGCAUAUGGUUAGCUCACUCGACCAUUUAUUUUUCUCCAUCAACACAUGCCAAGUAAAAAGCUUUAAUAAAAAUAGGAAACAAAUAGGAUUGGGUUUGGGAAUGUGUCUUCUAUCUCUACAUAUGGGGACCAAUGCUACUCUACAAGAGGCAUCUCCAACUAACAUUGAAUAAUGUUAGACAGUACUCGUGAAAGAACUCUAUAAAACUAUAAACGAAAUUGGCCAAAUUUUUAUUUAACAUUACUCUUUCAUCAAUCAAAUCUCAUUUUAUUCUAAAAAUUCCCUACACAUUGAAAGGAGUAUUUUGGAUUUGGUGAGCAUUAUCAUCGUAUUUUCAAGUUUAGAUUUGUUUCCUCAAUAUUCUCUUAAUAGUUGAUUGAUUCAAAUGUCACUUAACAACAAUGUGUACUCUCCCCUUUUUGGAAACAGUUUUCAAUUGAAUUUUGAAGCUUCAGUCUCUUAAACUCACAUCGCAUAUUCAAUUCCCUCACUCAAAUAUUGUUUUCCCAAAGGAAGUUGAUCUUCAAAGAAUUUGACGUGGGUUUACUUUAUUUGAUUAUAGUGUUACAUUAUAUCAAAUCAUGAAAUCGAUUGGGGUAAGUGUCAUGUUUGAACAUAUUUGUGACAAAAGGUAUGGAUUUAGUCUAAAUGUUUUUACCAUUAGGAAAUUGUGAUUUGAAAUUUUAAUCAAUACAAGUUAAAUGAGAUUCCAUAUUAAAACUUUUUUUAAAAAAUUAAUCUAACACAAAUAUGAAAAUACAAUGUAAUUGUGAGGGGAAAUAUGGAACAUACGGUUUCUCAUCACUUGCAUUUCUAUGGUUAAAGAGUACUUUCGUUUUUGAAUCGUGUGUCUAACUAUAACCAUUUACGAAGUGUUUAACUUUAGUUAGAUGACCCACCAAUUUGAGUUGAGUUGAUUAAAAUAACAGCUAACUUUCACUCUUUGAUCUAAUGUUUUCAAUGGAUUCCAUUCGUUAGUGAUCAAUUUAUGCAACACUUAUUGUUGCAUGACUUCCUUGAUGACAUGUUUUUGUGACCUACUUUGUUAAACACUUCUAGGAUCAAACUACAACAAUCAUAAUAGGCGAUCACUUUGAUGACGUCGACCUCCAACAACUAGUUUAAACAACCAACUUUGUUGAUUAUCUUCAGCGACUAACUCUAAAGAUCAAUUCAACUAAAACUUAAAAUGAUUGAUGAAAGUGUUUUUAAAUACAAAAUUUAAAUUAUCCGUUCAUAAUGUUUAAUAGUCUUCUUUUACAAUAGUUUGACAUUAAUAUAAACACUCCAAGUAUAUAAGUAAACUACUCAAAACUAGCUUCAAACACUUUGAGAAAACUUAACUAAACACAUGAAUAUUUUAACUUUAAAUGGUAUUCAUAAAAGUAAAUUUAAACCAUAAUGUUCUCAAUUUCCUAGACAAUCCAAAAAUAUCAUAAUUCAAAGAUGAUAUGUGUGUUUGAAAAAAGUUAAAUAAAACGUAUAAAGUCUUAUUCCGAUACAAAUAAACCUACGUUGAACUAAAUAAUCAAAAGCCAAAACACAUUUUGAAGGCUUUUUAACACAAAAUUAGAUAUUAAAAAUACUUACGAAUAUGAAUAGAAACUGUACUCACUCACUCAACAUUAAAAACAAAUGGGGUCAUGAUUGAGUUGGAAAAAUUGGAGUAAGUUGAUGUGUACUUAAAUGCAAAAGCAAAAUGGGCUCCCAAAGAUUGGUCUAAAAAGUAGUUUUUUCAACCAAUAAAUAAAUAAGUGGCCAAGUUUUGCCUCCCAAUUAGAUUGCAGCUUUCUUUCAUUUUCAUCUUUAUUGAACUUCAAAGUCACAAACUCUUUCACAUUUCUCACCCUGUACUCUUACCCUCAAGUCACUUACGAGUUCAUCAUAUGAAUGUUGGUAAUAGCAUAUAAUAUAGAAGUGAUUCUCAUUGUCCAUAUAGAAUUUGUUUAUUUAAUGGACACCUAGAAUCUAUGAAACUGCUAAUUAGUUGUUACACUUAAACUCCAUCGUCCAAAACGAUCACCAACAAUAUUUAAUCUGUCCAAAGAUUAACUCUUUGACCUCGUACCGCUACUACUAGGAUCUCCAUAUGGGUCAUCUGAACUCCCUCAUUCCUCUAAGUAUUCUCUAUCUAUAGCCCUCACAUUCAUAUCUCAAUAAAUUUAUUCAUGAUCUCAGUCAUUCUAAAAAAAAUUAGGUAAUUUUGAUUGUUAGAUAUUUUAGUUUUGAAAGAGUAAAAUCAUUAAUAAUUAAACAAUAUUGGUGAUUCCUCCAGUUCAGAUUGUCCCUUGCAAAUGGAUAGAGAAUUUAAUUUUCUCAACUUCCCUCCCACUCCUUCCUUAAUUCCAACUCCACUCUUCCAUGUUAUUCUUUAUAUAAAAACAAAUACCUUUUAUGUAAAACAAAAUAUAAUAAUCGACUAACUUUUAUAAGUGUGUAGCAAAAAAAUUUCAUAUAGAUAUCUAUUUAUUAGUAACUGUGACUCAAGUAAUAGAUGUCUAUUUAAGUUUAGUUAUACGGUGAGACUUAUCGCAAAUAAAAAGUAAUAGAAGAAUAUAUGUUCGUGUUUUUAUUUUAAAUUGUUAUAAAAAAAAUGUCAUUUUUAAGGGGUGUGUGAUUGAAAAAAUUAAGGAGGAUUGGAAGAGUGGAGUAAAUUUGAUAGAUCUUUCAACUAAACAUUUAGACGAUGCGUUGUGCAACUAGGAAGAGAGAAAUCGAAUGAGCUAGACUAUUUACUAUAUUAUUUCAAAGUAUACGAAUGAACAAAUACGUCUUCUUGAAACGGAUGGUGUCUUCAAACACGAGCUAGAUUUCACCAAUGUAAAACAUGACUCAACCAUAGUUUGACAUGUAUCCAAAUUCUUGCAUUUACCUCACUUUUUGUUAUUGAAAUUAAUUAUAAUAGGAAGACAUUAAUUCAAUUCACCAUAUUAGUUUCCCAACAAUAUAAUUAAAUCCUCACACACUUAAAUUUCAAAUAAAUUAAUUCAAAAAGUUACAACCCUACAAUUUAUUAGUGCUCUCUUAAUAUUAACUAUUCCUAAUUUGCUCUUAAUUAAUCCCAAUGUAAUUGCAACAAUUUAAAAGAAAAUAAUAAUUUAAAUUGGAUAAUUUUUUUUUUUUUAUUUCUAUCAAAACUUUAAUUUCAUUAUUAUUUGGAAAGCUUUUUUACUUUAUAAAUAAUCUUCCAAACUUUCCUCUACCAUUUAAUUUAUAAUUCAACUUUCCCAUUAUUAAAUCACAAUGUUUAUUAUUAUUCCAUUCUAUUUUUUCUUUACAAAACCAUUAUUUCUUAUACUUUAAAAAGUAUAUUUGACUUUUUUACACUAAAUUCCAAAUCCAUCAUCAAUUCAUUAUCAACAACCUAUUAUUAGAUCAUACAUUUAUGAACUUCUCAACUUAAUUGUUGCACCUUAUUUAUUGGUCUAUCCAACUACUUUUUAUGUGCUUUCAUUUCUACACAAAUUAAAUUGAUUCUAACAUCUUUUAAUUCAUUCUUAAUUAAAGAUUUCUUUUUAAUCUUAAUAAAUGUUUAAUUUUACAACUUUUAAGUUUCUAAAUUCUCCUACAAACACCUAUAUCUGUUGUAUUAUGUUUAUUUUAAUUGUCAUGUGUAAUUAAUCAAAUGACAUUUUCAUAUCUCCCAACAUAUUAGUAACAUAUAACAAUUGCAUAAGAUUUAAUUAAUUUUUUUAACAAUAAUACUUUUAGUAUGAUCUAAUCAAUUAAUUUUAGAAUUUUAAAGAAAUGUGGGUUAAUAAUAAAAAAUUAGGUUAAAUUAACUUUAAUUUGUAACGAUUUAGUUCUAAAACUUUCAAUUUUGUAACUAUUUAGUUCUUAAAUUUUACUAUAUAAUUAAAAAUUUAGCUCAUAAUUAUACUUAAUUUGCAACAAUUAAUUAGUCCUUGAUAUAGAAUUUGAGUGUGUGAAAAUUAACUGAAAUUUUGUCCAUAAAUAAAUCAAUAGACUACACAUAGACCCAAUAAUUUUAUAAAAUACAAUGCCUACAUCAUAAAAUACUAAAAAUUGACAUUAAAAUUUAAAAAGUUUUAUUUACGUAUAUUUGACUACACUAAAUUGUUACAAAUCUAAAAGUAUAAAGUUGAUAUUAUAUCAAGCAAAAACUCAUAAACAAAAAAACCGAAACUAAAUGGUUAUAAAUCAAAAUGAAAAAAAUUAUAAAAUUUGAUUAGGAGGAAAAUAAAAUAAUAAUAAAAAGAAAAGAGAGAGAGAGAAGGGAAUUAGGUUAAAAACGCGGUGAGUUAUAAUUAUGAGUGAUAAUAUCACAAGUUCCGUUCCCCUCCACCAAUGCAAUUGCAUGCAUUCCAUGCAUUUCCCACCUCCUUUUUCCUUUACAACUUUAUUUAUUGCACCCCAACCCAUCCCAACCCCUCUCUCCCCUUUACUUUUCUUCUCUCCUUUUUCUUUUCAACUUAUCUAUUUCAUCCAUACCUUUUAUCUCAAUACUUUAUAUAUUGAGUUUCAUUUCAAUAGUUGAUUGAAAGAUCUCUCUCCUAAAUUAUAUAUUUCUCACAAUUAUGUGUCCCACAUAUAUGUUUAUUUUAAAUUAAUAUUAUGGUUAACAAUUUUAGGACUAAUUCAUUCCAAUAAUUUAUCAAUUACUCUUUUAGGAUUUUAUUAAUUUAUAAUAAAAUUGUGUAUCAAUUUCAAUCAACCUGCAAAAUAGCUACUAUUUUUUAGACUUUAAGGGAUAUUAAUUUACAAUACAAUACUUCUUUUAAGAUAUAGGAUAGGAUUUUUUUGUA